rnacentral:lncRNA from 1 species
GAUCCUUGGCCUAUCUGUGUGGGAAAGGAGAGGGUUUGGCUAUGUUUUACGGCGUCGGAGGAGGUGAAGUGAUGAGGGAUUAUUUUGUUGUUGUAGCCGGUGUGAAUGGAGAUCUCGGAAGCCAAUCGGUUGGAUGGGUUGUGUCGCCGUGAAAGUUGUUGGAGGAAGGGUUUUACCGUGGUGGCGAUUUUUGUGUUUAAUGGGGUCUUGCCGGCGACGGAGGGUUUGGUGAAGGCCACACAGAAGGUUUGUUUGUAUGGUUGUGGUUAGGUGAUUGUUAGGUGAUGAGUGUUGGAAUGCGGCGUAUCACGGUGCGGGUGGAAGGCGAAAUAUGGUAUUAAUGUUAUUGUGAGGGUCGAUGAAGAAAAAGAAGGGUAAAAGGAGAGGAAUGGCGAGGAGGAGCUUUGACGGGGGAAGGAGGUUGUAGGAGGAUGACGUCAGAGACCUGACGGGGGAAGGAGGUUGUAGGAGGAUGACGUCAGAGACCUUUGGGAGAAGAAGAGGGUCCUUCCCAAGAGAGAAAGAUCAAAAAUUCUUUAAUUCGUCUCUUUCGUUUUCUUUUAUUUUUUUUCUAGCAGACCAAAAGAGAGAAUUCUGUUGGUGAGUGGGGAUGAAACCAAUCCCUUUUUGAUUGGUGGGAGCGGUCCCUCUCUAAUCCCUUCACCAACUAUUAAUCAAUUUAUUUUCUACUCCUUUUUUUUGUUUUUUCGCCAGCUGUCCUCUUGGAGAGAGGGAGUACUAUUGUGAGCUGUCAUCAACAAUGUCGUUGGGAAUGGAAGGGGGUGACGUGUGUGGUGUGUGCAUUAGGGAAUAACCUUUUAUUUUAACCAAAUAUAAAAUGAGAUAAGAGUGCCACAUGGAGCUCACUAAUUGGACCAAGGAGAUAUUUUAUUUUUUUAAUUUUAUUAAUUAACUAAAUAAAUUAAAUGUUAGUUUAUAAUUGAUUAAUAAGAGAAAAUGAGGAUAAUGCAUGUGAUCAUUUGAUUAAAUUUGAAUCGACGCUUCAGAUUUAAAUCAAAGAAGCAUACGAAAAUUUAAAAUGCCUACAAUGUCUCUUCUAAAUGAUUUAAUGAAUUUAAAACAAAUUAAAUCAAUUAAAUUAAAUAAAACUCACAAUUUUAAAAAUGAACGUGAUAAAAAUAAAAUAAUAACACAAAAUUUAUAUUUUAUUAUCCCGGUUAGUUUAACGAAAGAAUAAAAAUAAAACAACUAAGAAUGAAUAAAAGUCGGACACAAAUUUGCUCGAAAAAUUAAAUCGGACACACUAAAAUGAUCAGUGUGAAAUAAAUUUAUUGGAAAAAUACAGCGUUUAAUUUAAUUUUGAAAUAAAUUUUGACCGGUUAAAAGGCUCAAACGGAUCAAAAUGCGACCGAGAAAGUUGUCGAAAAAUAUAAUGAGCACACCAGGUUAAACUACGUGAACCAUAGAUUAAUAAUACUGACGUCUGCAAGCUUGAUUUCAAAACUUUUUACCCGCUGAUUUUGCAUGUACUUGAGGAAUGAUUUAACCAAUUUGUCUGUAUAUUCAAGAAUUUAUUCUGACUGAUAUUUUAGGUAUUAUUCAUGAUAAAAUGAAAUAUUAUGCUAUACAUAUGAUACAAACUGAAAUUAAAAUCGAAUUUAUGAAAGUUUUAAAAUGUCCGGACAAAAUUGGGGUAUGAUACCAUGUAGCUUGCAUAGGGGAGAAUAAAAAACCCAAGGUUCGGUGGUUUGAUUCUCCGUCACCUCCAUCUUCAUUAGCUCUCAGAUUUUUGUGCUUAGGAUUCUUGAUGUUAACUGCUUAAUUUUCAGAAUUUGUUAAGCUAUAAUUAAGAGAAAGAUUAGGAUAGGAGUGUUGGAGAGGAGUAAGAAUUUGGAGCCUUUUUCCUUGAAUCCGGACAACUCUGCCGCCUCCGGUGCUGCGGUGCCGGAACUCCGACAGUGGUUCUGCUUUGCCUUCAUGUUGGGAUUGUUUGACUGGUCCAAGGAGUGUUCACUCCAUACCAUUCAUUUCCAUGUGUAGCAUUAACAUGCAUGCUGAUAGCAUUUUUUCGUCUUCAUUAUUGGUGCUGAAUUCUUGCUAACUAUGUUGUUUGAGCCUUAGGCCAAGCUACUGUUCAUCUUAAUCAUGAAAGUCUCGUAAUUAAUUAAUCGAUUCCAAUUCCAAUUCUGUUUUUGACAUUACUCUUGAUGUUGUUUGUGUAUGAAAUAGUUUUUAAUUCCUGUUUUUGGCAUUUUUGAGUCACAUAAUUGUAGAGGUAAAUAGCUUAAUUCAUGUUCAAUUAAAGAUUAGGAUUAGGUAAUUAGUUAGGAAUUAGGCUUAAUCAUGUGCAUGUUAGACUAAUUUCUUAAUUUUUCCAGACUUUGUUUUCACGUGAUCAACCAUGCUAGGCUUAGAAUUUCAUUUGGUUUACCAUGCUAAUUUCCAUGUACAUGAGUAAUCUCACUUUGACUAGAUUACGUUUCAUUUGUGGUUAAGGGCUGAACUGAAAAUUCCAUUUCAUUUUAAUUUGAUAUACGUUUGUUCAUCACGAUCAUCAUAUCGCACCAUGCUAUUAUCAUACCCUCUCAUUCAUUUGAGUCGGCAUUUUAAUUCCUUCUUAUUUGAUGCAUACUAACCAGUGUUGUUUUGUGGCGACAUGCAAAUAAGAGAUCUCAACACUAUCCAAAUCCCUUUUAUUUUUAUUCGUUAGUUUGUAGUAUGUGAAGUGCCAUGCCACUUGUAUGGUUUAUACAUGGCACAUGAGUUGUAAAUUAUAUUUCCCUUUCAUGCCUUCAUGUUGUAUUAUGUGGAUCCAUCCCCUCAUUAUGGGUUAAAUGUUCCCCCUCCCCUAGUCAUGUAACAACUUAAAUUUACUGCUUUCUAGUUAGUUCACCAUGCAUGUUAAUAACCAAGAUAAAAUACAAAACGAUAAAAAAAUCAUUUUUGAAAGAAACAAAAGGUACUUGAUUCAAUGUCAAGUUUUUUUUCCAAAUAAAACUCACACCAUUGCAACGCAAACACUCGAUUUGACACCAAGUAUUUCCCACCCUUUCUUUCCCAUCUUAUCUCCUCAAUCGACCACUAUUUCAAAAUCAAUAAGCAAACCCUUCAUCCAACGUUAAAUGGUCCUUUUUUAAAUCAAAUUCAAAAACACAAUAAAUACGAUUAGGAUUGUAUGCCACGAGCCUUAAGUGGUAAAGAAGGGAUGAGAAUGGAGCUUUCCUACACUCGUUCUGAAUACUUCGAACACAAGACGUUUGGCUUGGUAGUUUUAGGUAUUCACCUUUAUCCAUAGUCUUUAGUGCAAUCCAUAAUUAAUAACACUUUCUUAAAACAUAAAAAUAAUCCAACGCAUUCAAACCUUUUGUUUGAGCCUUAGGGCGACGCAAUCGAAAAUCCUUCUUCAAGGUAAUAAAAAUCAACCAAACAAACAAACCUUUUAAACCCAUGAACUAUGGGGCUCUGAUUUCUCACUUCAACAAGUGGGCAUACGUAGGCACAAGGACCCAAAUCCUUGGCGAGCACACUAAUUUAAAAUCUACCUCCACUCCGCAAGCCUUUGGCAAGAAAACAUUCGAUAAAUAACAUCCACGUAAGCGCAAACAUCCUAGAUGGUUCCCAUGGAGUAACAUGGAUGUGAGGGGUGCUAAUACCUUCCCCUUGCAUAACCGACUUCCGAACCUGUUCGUGGUUGCGAUGACCAUUCUUUGAGGUUUUCUAGAUAUUUUCCCUUUCCUUUAGAAUAAAUAAAAACCGAUGGCGACUUUGUAUUUUUCGCGUAGCGACAACUAACGACUCUGGUUGGGAUAUGCAGACAGCUUGUUGGGACUUCCCUAGCGAGCUGGAGACUCUGCUAGGGACAACUCUCUAAGUAAUUCAAGCCUAACCUAGGUCGCUUCCUUGCGUGUGUGGGUGUUUAUCCUUUUGAUUGUUUGUUUUAUUUAUUGCCUUUCGCUUUAAAUUUUGUAAUAUAUGUUACUUGGAUCCAUUGUUCUAUGAUACCGAAUGGAUGACACCUUAAUUGCAAGAAGCCUUGUGGUAAAGACUCUCCACCCGAGUCUAGCGUGGAAAUUAAGAUAGGAUAGGUUGUGUAGUAUGGGCCACCAAGAAGCUUUUCUCGUAAGGGUCGAUACGAGAAUCUCGCUUAGAGUAGAUUCUUUUGGAGAUGUUGACGACUGUCAAGCUUUUGGCGUAAGCGAUCAAUGUCUUCAUUAGGAUCAAUGACUCUAAGGACCUUCAUAGAAUAUUGAACCUUUGACUAAUUAAUAUUGAUGGUCGCGUAGUGCGGGUCCCUAAGAAGCUUUUCUCGCGUGGGUCGGUACAAAGAUCUCACUCAAAGUAGAUUUUCUUGAUCGAGUUGUCGACCGACAAGCUUUUGUUGUAAGCGAAAAACAGUCAAGGAGGUCCAUGACUUUAAGAACCUUGUCUAGAACCCGAUGUCGAUGGUUACGUACUGAGGGUCCCCGAGAAGCUUUUAUCGUGUGGGUUGGUACGAAGAUCUCACCCAGAUUAGACUCAUUUGAGGGAGUUGACGACCGACAAGCUUUUCCCGUCAGCGCCAAACAGUCAAAUGGAUCGAUGAGUAUGGGGUCCCUAUCUAUAACCCUAGACUACAACCAGUGAGAUCCCUAAUAUGGAGAGAAAUCAGUGUUAUCCUCCAUCCGUAUCUCGAGCCUGUGAUACUACGCCUUCUUGUGUAUGCAACUUGUGAAGCCAUGCUUAUGCACCGUACAUUCAUGCAUUCGUGCAUUCGUGCAUUCGUGCAUUCGUGCAUUCAUGCAUCAUGAGUGAUAAAAACAAAUAUAAUACUCAUGCAUCAUUCACAUAUUAUAUUGCAUUUCGUGAGACCCAUCUCACUAUCACUUGGCCUUUUGUCAGACGAACCACUUCCAACAAAGCUGAUUUCCCGACAUCGGUCUUGAACUUGAAGCAUGUCGUAGAUUACCAUGGAAGAAAUACGAAGAGGUCAAGAAGCGUUGAAGGUCGAAAUCAACCAGCUGAAGACUCAGAUGAGUUUGAUCAUGGAGAUCUUGCAGUCAAUGAUGAGGAAGGAGGGAAAGUCCAUGCCAACUGAUGUACUAGAAGGGGUCACUCCGGUGAGUGUGUCUGACCUCAUUCCACCUUAGGAGCAGCCUCAUGGUUUUCGUCCACAUCCUGUACCUCCAAGGGCUCCGUAUCAGUGACCAUUUCUUGUUCCCCGACCAAGGUGAAGGAACCCUGUGUCGGACCAGUAUCCAAAUCAGCAGUGGAACUUCGCUUAAUAAAGAAGAUAGGGACCAAGAAGGCCUCAAAAGCAGUUUGAUCUAGUUCCCAUGUCGUAUGGUUGAAUCCUACCCCUAUUUCUUAAUAGCUCAUUGGUGUAGUUGAGGGAAGCUAAAUCCCCUCCAACACCUCUUCCUCCAGAUUAUGAUGUGAAUACUAGGUGCGAGUUCCAUUCUAGGACGCCUGGACACUUAAUCGAAGACUGUAAGAGCCUCAAGUACAAGGUACAUGAUUUGAUUGAUUCAAGGGUCAUCGUGCUCACACCGUAAGGCCUGAACAUAAUGAACACUCCCAUGCCUCCACAUGAGGGCACAUCUGCAAUGCCAUGACCGAUGCGAAUGGAAAAUAGGGUAGAUUGGAAGAGUCUGCACCUACGAGUAAAGUUUGAGAAGGAUCCCCUUGAAGAUGAUCAUGUUAUCUUCUGUAAGCCUAGUAAUUCCAGUCUGAGGAUCUGAAUAAGGCCAAUUAUGCCCGUAGUCACUAGUUUUAUUAAAACAUGUUCAUGUGUGAUUUUCUUGAUUGUCAUUUGUAACACUAAUUUGUAGCAAACUAGUUUGUUUUUGAAUAAUAAUGACAUUUUAUUGAAUAUGCAUGUUUUGAAUAAAUCCAUUCGUGGCCACUCAUACUUUAUUUUGUCAAUAUCUAACUUUUGUUUGAGCAAAACCUAGAGGAGGAGGAUGAAAUUGAAAACACGAAAUCACUACUCGUAUAUGUAGAAGCAAGCUUCAAUCCAAGAAUUAUUUUGAUGAAGACAACUUGCAUCAAUGCAAAAAGAGAAGAGCUACAAAGUUAUUUCAAGCAUCAAGUUUUCAAAGCCGCAUAUGCAUUUUGAUCAAGUUUCAUUUUCAAGUCAACCGUUUGCAAGAUUGUUGAUUCACUUCUUAGGUAUAUCUAACUCACUCUUAGAUUAGUAUACAAGUGUUCAACAACCAUGAUCUGGAUUUGCAUCUUUUAACAUAACCAUUUGUUAACACCUUGAAAUGCAAGACACAUUUAUUUUUAAGUAUUUUUCUGCAUUUCAACAGUGUUAACCGGUUAACCAUAUGGGUUAACCGGUUAACAGCCCAGUUUUUCAAAUUCUUUGUUAACGUUUGCAUGCGUUAACCGGUUAACCCAUAUGGUUAACCGGUUAACACUGUUCGUUACAGCAAAAAAUGUUUUUGAAAAAUUAUAUCUUUUCAUCAAUGUUCAUGAGGGAAUUGAUACCUCUUUGAAAAGGUGUUUUGGCAAUAUAAAUUAUUAAAUUUUCAAAAUGAAUUUUGACCUCCAAGAAUUUUCAUACAAACUUCAAAUAAUCACUCUCUCAUAUUUUUCCUUCCAUAAAUUUUUGAAAGUGUUCAUAAUAAAAAUUGUCAUCUCAUUCUAUUGUUGAACACUUGCAUAUUAUCUUUUGAGUGACUUAUUUAUCUAAGGAGAAGAUCAAUCAAGAGAAGAUUGAUAACACUACAUCUUUGAUAAAAUCAUUCAUAGAAUUAUUUCUGUUUGACUUGUGAUCCAGGAUUGUUGGACACAAGGGUUGGUGUUGAAGAGGAUUGUUCUUCAUACACUUGUUUGUCUAUAGGUUAGAUAGUAGGCAUCACCGUUUGUGUGAAUAGGCUGUACCAUAUUCUAACUAUAGUGAAUUCUCUUUCGUGUGAAAGGGGAGUGGAUGUACCUUCGGAUUGUGAAGGGAACCACUAUAAUUUCCGGUGUCGUUUACUUUCCGCAUUUUAAUUUUCCGCACUUAAACAAAAAUAUCCAAAAACCGGAAACUAGAUCGAAGAAAUUUUUAUCACCUAAUUCACCCCCCCUCUUAGGCGCAUUUACAACUUACAUUUGGCAUCAGAGCAAGUUAUAGGUAACUUGUUCCUAGAGAUCCAGCAUGGCUUCCGCAAGCAUAAAUCCGGUUUUCAAAGACGGUGGAAGUAGCAACAAGCCCCCACUCUUCUCCGGAGAAUAUUUCGAUUUCUGGAAAAUAAGAAUGAAGGCACAUCUUGAGGCCCAAGGAGAAGGUAUAUGGGAAGCAGUUGAAGAAGGUCCACACAAACCGGUGAAUGUGGUGAAUGGAGUUGGUACCGCAAAGUUGAAAAACACUUAUGACGAAGAUGAUAGGAAAAAGAUUCUGAAUGAGAAGAAGGCAAUCAACAUACUCCAAAGCGCUCUUAGUAUGGACGAGUUCUUCCGUAUAUCUCAAUGUAAAUCGGCAAAGGAGAUUUGGGACACCUUGGUUGAAACACAUGAAGGAACCACCGAAGUGAAGAGAUCGAGGCUAAACACCCUAAGUCAAGAAUAUGAGAUGUUCCGCAUGCAGCCCGGUGAAUCUAUAGUUGCCUUACAAAAGAGAUUCGUCCAUCUAACAAAUCACUUGAUCGCUCUGGGUAAAACUUUCACUAAUGAUGAUCUCAACCUGAAAGUCCUAAGAUCUUUGACAAGAGAAUGGCAACCGAAAGUGACCGCUAUUUCGGAAAAGAAGAGUCUCUCAACGAUGACAUCCGCGUCUCUAUUUGGAAAACUUCAAGAACACGAAUUGGAACUUGGAAGGCUCGAGAAGCACGAAAGUCAAGAAAAGAAGUCCAAGGGAAUUGCCCUGAAGGUUGAUUCAAAAAGGGACAAAGAUGAUGAGACAUCCGAAGAUGAGAACUUUAUGCUUCUUGUAAAGAAGCUUGGUAAGUUUUUUAAUAAAAAUAAGAAUUCCUCUUAUCCUAAAAAGAAUAACCAUUUCAGGAAAAAGGAAGCAUCCACAUCAAUGCAAGACGUUACGUGUUAUGAAUGUGGACAGCAAGGUCACAUAAAGACGGACUGCCCAAAACUUGCAAAGAAAGGAGGAUUCAAAGGCAAGAAGGAAUUCAAAAACAAAAAGGCUUACGUCGCUUGGGACGAUAAUAAGAUCAGUUCAUCUUCGGAAUCGGAAAGAGAUGAAUGUGCGAACAUGGCUCUUAUGGCUUCACAUCACUCCGAUGAAGAAAUCGAUGAGGUGAGUAGCAAUUUUUCAGUUUAUGACAAUGAUGCACAAGAUGUUAUAAAUGAAAUCUUAAAAGAAUGCAAGACAUUGUAUAAAAUUAUUUCAUCCCAAAAGAAACAAAUUUCAUCCUUAGAAGAAAAAAAUACUGCCUUGGAAAAAUAUAUUGAAAGUGGAAAACAAAAGUUGAUGGAUGAAAAACAAAGUCUUGCAUGUAAGAAUUGUGAAUCUUUAUCUUUUCAAAUUGUUCAACUUAAAAGAGUUUUAGAAAGAUAUGAAAAAGGUCAAAUUGGGUUGGAAGAAAUUCUUAAACACCAAAGGUAUUCUAAUGACAAAAGUGGAUUAGGAUAUUCUAAGUUUUCUAAACCAAGCACAAAUAAGACCAUUUUUGUUAAAGCAAGUGAACAAGUUGCUAAAGAGAAAGUAAACAAUUCUAAAAUUAUGCAUCAAAGUCAUAAAAAGAAAAUGAUUGCUAAGAAGAAGAAUUAUGUUCCUAGAUAUAGAAGUAAUUUUCAACCUACUUGCUUUUAUUGUGGAAUCAAAGGGCACACACCUAAUGCUUGUUAUGUGCGAAACUUUAGCGUUCCAACAGGGCAUUAUGUGUGGGUUAAAAAGGGUACUAACUACCAAGGACCCAAAGCAAUUUGGGUACCUAACAAAACUUGAUUUUGUUUUGUAGGUAUGCUUGAAGACAACCUCGAAUCAAUGGUAUCUUGAUAGCGGUUGUUCAAAGCAUAUGACGGGCGACAUCGACAAAUUUUCACAUCUAUCUUUAAAGGCCAAAGGAUAUGUUACAUACGGUGAUGACACCAAAGGGAAGAUCCUUGGAGUAGGAACCAUUGGAGCACCUCCUGUUACCAUCAUCGAAGAUGUCCUUUAUGUUGAAGGCCUAAAGCACAAUUUACUAAGUAUAAGUCAAUUGUGUGACAAAGGGUUCCGAAUCAAUUUCACAAAAGAUGAAUGUGUGAUAGAGCAUGAAGUCACCCAUGACAUCUUGCUAAAAGGUAAAAGGGUUAAUAAUAUUUUUAUGACUUCUUUUGAUGAUUCUUCCUUGAAGGUAAAAUGCCUAAUGACGAACAACAACGAGGCUUGGCUAUGGCAUAAAAGAUUCGCUCAUAUACACAUGGAGCACAUGAACAAAUUAAUAAAGCAUGAUCUUGUCGUUGGUCUUCCAAAGAUUAAGUUCAUCAAGGAUAAGCUGUGUGACGCAUGCCAAAAGGGAAAGCAAACCAAGACAACUUUCAAAUCCAAGAAUGUUGUAUCUUCAUCGAGGCCACUUCAACUCUUGCACAUGGAUCUCUUCGGUCCAUCAAGAACGAAAAGUUUCGGAGGUAAUGUUUACGGUUUGGUAAUUGUUGAUGAUUUCUCUAGAUAUACGUGGACUUUGUUUCUUGUGCAGAAAAGCGAUGCUUUCAAGGCUUUCAAAAAAUAUGCAAAACAAAUUCAGAAUGAGAAGUCUCUUUCAAUAAUCUCCAUUAGAAGUGACCACGGGGGAGAAUUUCAAAACACAUUCUUUGAAGAAUUUUGCGAAAAACACGGAAUUUCCCACAACUUCUCCGCACCACGAACACCACAACAAAACGGUGUCGUAGAGAGAAAGAAUAGAUCCUUGGUGGAACUCGCAAGAACAAUGCUCAGUGACUCCAACCUUCCUAAAUAUUUUUGGGCGGACGCAGUUAGCACAGCAUGCUUUGUUAGCAACCGUGUCAACAUUCGGCCGAUUCUCAAAAAGACUCCGUAUGAGCUUUUCAAAGGAAGGAAACCUAAUAUAUCCUUCUUUCACAUCUUUGGGUGCAAAUGUUUUGUCCUCAACAAUGGAAAGGACAAUCUUGGUAAGUUUGAUGAGAAAUCCGACGAAGGUAUCUUCCUUGGCUACUCCCUUUCUAGUAAGGCUUUUAGAAUUUUCAAUAAAAGAACUCUUACUAUUGAAGAAUCAACGCAUGUAUGUUUUGAUGAAACUAACCCCUCGAAAGAGGAUAACCUUGUUGUUGAUGACGAUGAUGAUAUAAUAGAUGUAUCACAAAAGGAACUUUCAAAUGUUCAAUCAAUUCCACAAGGAGAUGGCUCACCAAUCAUUGAAGAACAUCAUGAUCUACCGAAAGAAUGGAAAACUCAUAGAGAUCACCCCAUCGAUAAAGUUAUUGGUGAUAUUAGCCAAGGCGUUGCAACACGACUAAAUCUCAAAGAUGCUUGUCUCAACAUGGCUUUUGUGUCUCAAAUAGAACCAACCAAAGUCGAUGAAGCCUUAGGCGACGAUCAAUGGAUAGUAGCAAUGCAAGAAGAACUCAACCAAUUCGAAAGAAAUCAAGUUUGGAGUCUUGUACCAAGACCGGACAACAAGCACAUCAUUGGAACAAGAUGGGUCUUCAAGAACAAACUUGAUGAGAAUGGGAUCAUAGUUCGUAACAAAGCAAGAUUGGUCGCACAAGGAUACAACCAACAGGAAGGAAUUGAUUUUGAUGAGACGUUCGCUCCGGUAGCAAGGUUAGAAGCAAUUCGAUUAUUACUUGCUUUUGCUUGUUCUAUGAACUUUCAAUUGUUUCAGAUGGAUGUCAAAAGCGCUUUCCUAAAUGGCUAUAUCAAUGAAGAAGUCUACGUCAAACAACCUCCGGGUUUUGAAGACUUCAAGAACCCCUCACAUGUUUACAAGUUGAAGAAAGCACUAUAUGGUUUAAAGCAAGCACCGAGAGCGUGGUAUGACCGCCUCAGCAACUUUCUAUGUGAAAAGGGAUUUGUAAAAGGAAAGGUUGACAAGACUCUGUUCAUAAAGAAGAUCAAGGGUAACACCUUAUUGGCUCAAGUCUAUGUCGACGACAUCAUCUUCGGUUCAACAAAUAAAGAUCUUUGCGAAGAGUUUUCAACCAUGAUGCAAGGAGAAUUCGAGAUGUCCAUGAUGGGAAAAUUGAACUAUUUUCUUGGACUACAAAUCAAGCAAACCAAGGAUGGCAUCUUCAUCAACCAAUCCAAGUAUUGCAAGGAAUUAUUGAAAAGAUUUGAUAUGGAUAGUUGCAAAGUGAUGUCCACUCCUAUGGGAUCCGGAACGUACGUUGAUCAAGAUGAAUCCGGAAUGUCAAUAGAUAUUACAAAAUAUCGAGGUAUGAUUGGUUCAUUACUAUAUUUGACGGCAAGCCGUCCUGACAUUAUGUUUAGUGUAUGUUUGUGUGCACGCUUUCAAGCAAACCCGAAGGAAUCGCAUCUCACCGCCGUGAAGAGGAUUAUGAAAUAUCUCAAAGGAACAACGAACGUCGGACUAUGGUAUCCAAAAGGUAGUAUAUGCUCCUUGAUUGGUUAUUCUGAUGCUGACUAUGCAGGCUGUAAGACCGAUAGAAAAAGCACAAGUGGUACCUGUCACAUUCUCGGGAAUGCACUAGUGUCGUGGGCAUGCAAGAAGCAAGCAUGUGUCGCACUUAGCACGGCCGAAGCAGAGUACAUUGCAGCAGGCAGUUGUUGUGCACAAAUUUUAUGGCUUAAGCAACAACUUCUGGAUUUUGGUGUAGACCUCGGCUGCAUUCCUCUUCGAUGCGAUAACACAAGUGCCAUCAACAUCACAAAGAACCCGGUCAUGCAUUCAAGGACAAAGCACAUAGAUAUCCGACAUCAUUUCCUUCGAGAUCACGUGCUUAACGGAGAUGUAGAUGUUACGUUCGUGGAUACACAUAACCAACUCGCCGACAUAUUCACAAAACCAUUGGCUAAAGAGCAAUUCUUCAAGAUUCGGCGAGAACUUGGUAUUCUCAAUGAAGGUGACAUCUAACCUUGUCUUCAAAUUACUUGUUAUGUGGUAUAGUUGCUAAAAAUGUGUUUACUUUCAGUUUUUAUGUUAUGCAAUGCUAGCACUUCUUUUUCGCCGUUUUCCGUUUUUCUUACUUUCGCAUGUCCAAAUAUUAUCCGUUUUAAAAUAUUUUUAAAUCGAAAGUUGCGUAUUGAUAAGUGCUAACACUUUGUGCAAAAAUUUUGAAAAGAUCUUUUCCCGAUUCUUCCAAACGGAGCUGCUGUUUUUUUUCUACUUUUUGAAAAAUUCAGUCCGUUAACCGGUUAACGGUAUAGGUUAACCGGUUAACACCUUCCAACAACAACUCUGUUUUUCGUUUUUAAAUACAACAUUUUUAAAUUAAUUGUUUUAUUUUUAUUACGUGUGUUUAUGUUCAAUGCAUGUGCUUUACUCUUCCACCUUCUCCUCAUAACUCUCUCCUCCCUCAUUACUCUCCAUAAACCCUUCAUCUCUUUAUAUUCAACUUUCAUAACUCUCAAACCCCUUUUCCGAAAAUCCAUCUCUAAACCCUAGAAUCUUCAUCUUCUUCAUGGCUCCACCAAGAAUGGGAAAGGCUCCUGUAUCAUCAUCUAGCAGUGAAGAGGAAGAGUUGAAAAUGGAAACCGCCAAGAAAAGGAGGAUGGAUUUCAAAGUCAGGGUUAGACAUCUGCUUAAGGGUAAGUAUGUGAAUCUCAAAUCCUUCACUACUUUCUCUUUCCCUGAGUUGUUGAGAUACCAAGGAUUGCAUGCGUUCAUCACUGAUAAUGGGAAAAUUUACACUGAUUUGGUAAAAUCUUUUCUGAAUCAUUUUACUUUAAAUCUGAAUGAUGAUGAACAACACAUGCUGUCUGCAACUGUAAGAGACUCUGAAAUUGUUACAGACCUUAGGACGUUGGCUGCGUCUCUUAAGAUUCCAUAUUCUGGUUUUUUCCUUCGGAAAGGUGUUAAUCAUGAGGAAGGAAAAUGGGCUCAGUAUGAUAAGAUGGAAUACUACUACUCUAUCUGCAGAUUUCCCAGGGAGGUUGUUAUGUCGGGACAGCGCACUUCUCGCAUACUCUGCUAUGCUAAGAAUCUGUCGGUUGACGAUCGUAUGCUGCAUUAUGUUAUCUGCCAUGUCCUGCUGCCCAAGGAUUCCAACCUGUCUCAAAUCAAUGAUUUGGAAAUGCAAGUUCUGUUUGCAGUGAAGAACAAAAUCCGAGUUAAUUGGCUGCCCACUAUGAUGUAUCAUCUGAGACAGCAACUUUCUCUCAAAACAAGGCUGCCAUACGGUCGCCUUAUCUCAAGGAUUUUGGAACUCACAGAUAUGGAAAUCGGGAGAGAACCGUUUUUGGCUAUGACCACUACCGCCAAUGAAAUCAACGGCGUUACCAUCAUGAAAAAUACUGGAAUUAUUCAAAGCAACGACGGCUCCUACAAAUAUGAUGAUGGGUCCUCCUCUUCAAACUUCCCUAUUCCGGAAGGUGGCAUUACCAAUGAGUUUCUCUAUACUACCAUGAUGAGCCACCACCGUGAAACCACCCGUGCUAUCAAGAGUCUUCGGAACCUAGUGUUGAGUUCCCGCAACCUUCCUGUAGAAGAUGAUGAAGGUGAAGACGGUAGUGAAGCGGAUGGCGAGGAGGAUGAGGCCGGUUCGGAAGAAGAAUAGAGCACUAUGUUUUUUUUUCUAUGUUUCUGUUAUAUGUUGUUCUAAUAUUUUUGUUGUUAAACUAUGUUUAUGCUAUUUAUGUUUACCAAACACUUAACUUUUAAUCCAUAGUUAUUUUGUCAUAAUAUGUGAUUCAAUGUGUGUAUGCUUGUAUACUUGUUUUUUUUUUAGGUCUCUUCCUUUUUGCUAAUGACAAAGGGGGAGAAGACUUGUUUCUCUAAUGGUUUUCUAUGCAGAAUUAUUGUAUGCCUCUCAUUUAGGGGGAGUUCUUAAAUUUAGGGGGAGAAUCAACUUAGAGAAACUUCACUUUCAUGCAUCUAUUUNAGACGUUACGUUGUUUGAAUCGUGGGACAGCCAAGUCACAUAAAGAACGGACUGCCAAAACUUGCAAACGAAAAGGAGGAUCUCAAAGGCAAAAGGGAAUUCAAAAAACAAAGCUCUACGUCGCUUGGGACGCUAAUAAGAUCCGUUCAAUUCUCUCCGGAAUCGCAGAAAGAAGCCAUGAGAUGUCAGCGAAACAUGACUCACUUCAUGGACUUCACAUCCACUCCGCGAUGAAAGAACUCAGAGAGAGGAAGUAGCAUAUUUUCACAGACUUCUAACUGACAAUUGCAUGCCAACGAUGUUAAAUAAUGAAAACUCUCUAAGCACAGAACACUGCAAAGACCGAAUGUUAUAAAUAUUAUCAAUCCAAAAGAACCACAAUUGUUCACAUCCUUAGAAGAAAAAAAUACUCGCCUCCUGGAAAAUAUAUUGAAGUGGAAACACAAGUUGAUGGAUGAACAAACCCAAGAGUCUUGCAUGUAAGAAUUGUGAACUCUUUACUACUUUCAAAUUGUUCACUACAAAGAGUUUCGAAAUAUGAAAAGGCCCCAAUUGGGUUGGAAAAUUCUUCUUAACACAAGGAUAUUUCAAUGACAAGAGUGCUUAAAGACCUUUCUAACUAUUUCUAACCAGACACAAUAAGACCAUUUUUGUUUAAGCAAAGAUGCAACAUUGCCAAGGGCGCAAAGUUACCAACAAUUCUCAAAUUAAUGCAUCAAAGAUCACUAAAGAAAUAUGCUCAAGCAGAAGACAGAUUAAUGUUCCCUAGAUAUAGACAGUAUUUUCCAAGCCUAUUGCUUUCUAAUGUGAAAUCAAAGGGCACACCUAAUGCUUAGUUAUGUGCGAACGCCGUCUGCGUAUCAACAGCAGGAAUAUGUAGUGGGUUAAAAGAGUAUACUACACAAGGACCCAAAAGCAACCUAUGGGUACCUACCCACAAAACACUUGAUUUUGUAUUUCGUAGGUAUGCUGAAGCACUCGAAUCCAAUGGAUAUCUUUCGAUACGCGGUUGUUCAGCACUAUGCGAGCGACAUCGGACAAUUCUUCCACUAUCUUUAAGCAAAGGAUUAUUACAUUCACGGUACGAUGACACAAGGCAGCAUCUUCGGACGUAGGAACCCAUUGGAGCAACUCCUGUUGACCUCAUCGAGAAUGACACCUGUAUGUGAAGGCCUAACCACAAUUUACUCAAGCUAUAGUUCAAUUGUGUGACCAAAGAGGUUCGAAUCAAUUCUCACAAAAGAUGAAUGGUGAACUAGAGACAUGAAGUCACACUCAUGAAAUCCCUUGACUCAAAAGGCUCAAAAGGCGAUUAAUAUACUUUUAUGACUUCUUUUGAUGAUUCUUCACUUGAGGCUAAUGCACCUAUAGAACGAACCCAACCGGCUUUGGCCGGCUAUGGCAUAAAGAUCGCUCUUCACACAUGGAGCACCUGACAACUUAAUAACAGGAUCUUGUCGUCUGGUCUUCCAAAGAUAUAAGUUCAUCCAAGGAAGUUGCAAACCUGUGACACCUGCCAAAGGGCAAAGGCAAACCAGCACGCACUUUCAAAAUCCCAAGAUGUUGUGUCCCUUCCGCGUACAACGACGGCACUUCACUCUUGCACAUGGAAUCCUACUUCGGUCAUCAGAACGAAAAAGUCUCGCGGACCGUAAAAUGUUAGAACGGAUCUAGAAGGUAAUUGUUGCAUGACUUCUCUAGAUUACGUGCGACUUUGUUUCUUGUGCCACGCAACAAGCGCGUUUGCUCUUCAGGCGUUCAAAAAAUAUGCAAAACAAAUUCACGCACAUGAGAAGUCUCUUUCAUAUUUCCAUUAUAGAAGCUGACCACGGGAGAAUUUCAAAAACAUUCUCUUGAAAAUUUUUGCGAAGCACGAAUUUAUCAUAUAUCCGCACCACGAACAACACAACCAACAACCCGGUGUCGUAAGAGAGCAAAGACAUAGUCCUUGGGCGAACUCGACAAAGAACAGAUGCUCCAGUGACUCCAACCUUCCCUAAAUUUUCGUGGGCGAGCACCGCAACGCUUACGCAAGCUGCUUUGUCUAGCAACGUUGUUUCACAUUCGAACCGAUUCUCAAAAACUCCGUAUGAGCCUUUUCAAGGAAGGCACCUCAAUAUAUCAACUUCUUUUCACAUCUUGAGGUGCACCACUGUCAGCUUUGUCACUCAACAUUGGAAGGACAAUUUCGUAAGUUUCGAUGAGAAUCGCGCCGAAGGUAGCUUCCUUGAAGCAUACUCCCUUUAUCAGGCUUCUUAGGAAUUUUCUAAAAGAAAUUUACUAUAAGAUCAACGAUGUAUGUCUUUGAUCAACUUACCUCGAAAGAGGCAUAACCUUGUUGUUGAUGACACAUGAUGGACAUAAAGAGGCUAUCAAAGGGAACUGCAUCAAAUGUUCAACUCCAUUCUACAAGGAGGGGGAAGGCGGAUCACAAUCAUUGAGAUUCCAUGCUCUACCGAAGAGUAGGAGACUCAUAGAGAUCACCCAUUGAUAAAGUUUAAUUAGUGCAUAUUAGCAAGGCGUCCUCUGCAACACGACUCAGAAUCUCACAAGUGCUUGUCUCACACAUGGCUUUGUGUCUAAAUAAACCACCAAAGGUCGAUUGAGCAUUAGGCGACCAUCACAUGCGAUUAGUAGCAAUGCAAGAAGAAUCACAAUUCGAAAGAAACUCAGUUUGCGUAUCCGUUACCAACGACCAAGACAACCAGACAUCAUUGAACAGAUGCGUCGUCAAGACAACUUGCAUUUCGAGGUUCAUAGGGAACACAACCAAAACCAAACGGGGGAACAUAUGGACUAUGUUACGGUUACAAAGCGAGAUUCGGUCGCACAAGCUACAACAGACGAAGGAAAUUGAUUUUGAUGAGAACCGUUCGUCAACCAGGUAGCAAAGUUAGAGGCAAGGUCGAUUUUACUUCUGUUUGCAUUGGUUUAUGCAACUUUCAAUUGUUUUCGAUGAUGUCAGAGCGCUUCCUAAUGGCAAUAUAUCAUGCAGAAGUGCUACGUCAAACACCUCCGGGUUUGACCGACUUCAGAACCUUCCAUGUUUUACGUUUGAGAAAGCACUAUAUGGUUUAAAGCAAGCACCCGAGAGCGUCGGAUAUGAACCGCGACUCAGCAAAACUUUCUAUUGCAAGGGAGUUUGGUAAAGGAAAGCGUUGACAAGUUUGAUUUACAUAAGGAUCAAGGGUAAACUUAUUGGCGCAGUCUAUGUCGACGCAUCAUUCUUCGGUUCACCAAAUAAAGAUUCUUUGCGAAGAGUUUUUUCACCAAUGAUUGCAAGGAGCAAUUCGAGAAUGUCCAAUGACUGGGAAAUUGCAACUAUCUUUCGUGGACUACAAAAUCAGCAAACAGGGUGCCAUCUUCAUCACCAUCAAGUAUGCAAGGAAUUAUUUGAAAGAUUCGAUAUGGUAGUAUGCCAUGUAUGUCCACUCCUAGGGAUCCGGAACGUACGUUUGAUCAAGCUGAAUCCGGAAUGUCAAUGAUAUACCAAUAUCCGAGGUAUAUUGGUUUCAUACUAUAUUUUGCGCAGUGGACCUGACCUAUAUGUUUAGUGCUAAAUGUUUGUGUGCACGCUUUCAAGCACAACCCGAAGGAUCGCAUCUCCACGCCGUGAGGAUUAUGAAAUAUAUCACAAGGGAACACACGAACGUGGGAUAUGGUAUCCAAAGGUUAGUAGUAUGCUCUUGAUUGGUUAUUUUGCAUGUGCGUAUGCGCCUUAAAGACCGAUCGAAAGCAGUAGGACCUGUCACAUAUUCGAAUGCACUAGUGUCCGUGGGCAUGCAAGAGCAGAUGUGUCGAUUAGCCGGCCGAAGAGACACAGUGAGCAGCAGUGGAUUGUGCCACAAUCUCUUCCUGGCAUCACGCACACACUUCUGGAUCUUUGUUAGCUCGCUGCGAUUCUCUUCGAAUGCCGAUAACACAAGUGCUAUCACUCCAAGAACCGGUCUGACUUCAAGACGGAGCAAUACAGCUUCCGACAUUCAUUUCCCUCCAGAUCGUGCUUAACGGAGUGUAGAGUUACGUCUGGAUACACCUACAACUCAAGCUGACAUAUUCCAAACACAUUGCGCUAAGCAGCAAUUCUUCAGGAUUCCUCCGAGAUUGGAUUACUCAUGAAGGUGCAUCUAACUUGCUUCAAAUUACUUGUUAUGUGGCAUAGUUGCCUAAAAAUGUGUUUUCUUCAGUUCUUUAGUUUAUGCUGCUACAGCAUUCUUUUUCGCGUUUUCCGUUUUCUUACUUUGCAUGAUACCAAAUAUUAUCGUUUAAACAUAUGUUUAACUCGAAGGUUGCGUUUGAUAAGUGCGAACACUGUGUGCAAAAUUUUGCAAAGAUCUUCGAUUUCACACGGAGCUGCUGUUUUUUUUCUACUGUUUUGACAAUAUUCGUCGGUUACGGUUACGGUAUUAGGCAGCCGCAGUUAACACCUCCAUCCCACAACAACUCUGUUCUUCGUUUUAACGGAAAUUUUUAAAUUAUUGUUUUAAUUUUCUGUUGUGUGAUUUAUGUUAAUGCCAUGUGCCUUUACUAUUCCCUUCUCCUUCAUAACUCUCUCCUCCCUUCAUUACUCUCCAUAACCCUUCAUUCUUUAUUUCACCUUCAUACAACUUUCAAACCCCUUUUCGAAAUCCAUCUCAUAAACCCUAGAAUCUUCAUUUUUCUGGCUCACAAGUGGGACAAGGCUCCUGUAUCUUUCAUCUUCCAGCAGUGAAUGAGGAGAGUUGAAUGGAAACGCCAGAAAGCGAGGAUGGAUUCAAAGUCAGAGGUGGAUCUGUUAAAGCGGUAAGUAUGUUGAAUCUCAAUACCAUUCAUACUUUUUUCACUGAGUUGAUUGAGAAUCUCAAGAUGUGCCAUGAGUUUAACUGAUAAUGGGAAAUUUCAGCUGUUUGUAAAAUCUUUUCUGAACCAUUUUACUUUAAAUUGAAAUGUAUGAUGAACUACACAUGCUGUCGGCACCUGUAAGAGACUCGUGGAAAUUGUACAGACCUAAAAGGACGUUGGCUUUGGCGGGGCGGGCUUUUAUUCUCUAUUAGAUUCCAUAUUCAGGCUACGUUUCCUUCAGGAAGUGUUAUCGUGAUGGGAAAUGGGCUCAGUAUGGUAAGAGGGAUAUAACUACUCUAUCUGCGAUUCCAGGGCAAGGUUGUUACUGUCGGGAAACGCACUUCUCGCCCACUCUGCAUAUGGCUUAGAAUUCUGUCGGAUUGCACGCAUGAAUAUGCGUGGCAUUUAUGUUAUCUGCCAUGUCCUGCUCGCCCAAGGUUCAACCUGUCUCAUCAAUUGUUUGGAUUGCAAGUUCUGUUUAGCAGUGAGAACACGAACUCCGGACGUUACAUAGGCUGCCACUAUGAAUCGUUUAUCUGAGACAGCACUUUCUCUCUCCAAACAAGCUUGCAUCGUCGCCUUAUCUUCAGGAUUUGUGGAACUCACAGCAUAUGGGAAAUCGGGGAGAGAAGUUUCUUCGAUUCAUGACCACUAAACCGCAAUGACAGCACAGGCGGCUUACAUCAUGAAAUACUGAAUUAUUCACAGCAACGACAGGCUCCUACAAAUAUGAUGACUGGGUCCUCCUCUUCAACUUCCCUAUUUCCGCAGUGGCCCAUGACCAAAUGCAGUUAUCAUCUUACUACCAAUCAUGAGCCACACGUGAAACCACCCGUGCUAUCAGCAGUCUUCGGCAGCUAAUGAUGAGUUCCGCAACCUUCACUGGGUGAGUGCUAUAGGUGAGAGACGUUAGUGAAAGCGAGGGAUGCGCGGAGGAUGAGGCGGUCUCGUAGAAAGCAUAGAGACACUAUGUUUUUUCUCUUCUUGUUUCUAGUUAUAUGUUCAGUUCUUAAUAAUUUUAUGUAUGUAUACUAUGUUCUAUGCUAAUUUAUGUUUACCAACACUUAACCCUUUUACAUCCAUAGUAUAUUUGGUAACAUAAUAGUGAUUCAAAAUCGUGAUGUAUGCUCUAAUACUAUUGUUUUUUCUUUUAAACGUCUUUCGUUAUUUGCUAAUGACACCAACGAGGAAAGACUGUCUUCUCUCAUGCGUUUCUAUGCAACAAUUAAUUGUAAUGCCUCUCACUUUCAGGGGAGCAAGUUUAAAUUUAGGGAGAGAAUCAAACUUAGCAGAACUUCGCUUUCAUAGAGCACUCUAUUUUCAAAGUGCAGGGGUAUCAUCAAAGGGGAGAUUGUAGAAGCAAGCUUCAAAUCAAAGAUUAUUUUGAUGGAGACACUUGAUCAAUGCAAAGGAGAUGAGCUUACAAAGUUAUUUCAAGCAUCAGUUUCAAGCGCUAUGCUUUUGUCAGCCUUCAUUUUCAAGUCACGUUUAGCAGCUUGUUGAUUCAUUUUCUGGUUAUCUAACUCACUUUUGAAUAGAAUUAGCAUAGUGUUCCAAACCAUGAUCUGAACUUUGCAUCUUUUACAACUAACAUUGUUACACCUCUGAAUGCACGAACAUUUAUUUUUAGUUAUUCUGCAAUCAUUACCGUGCUAACGGUUAACCUAUGGGGUUAACCGGUUAACGCCAGUUUUUUCAAAUUCUUUGUUAAUGUUUGCACUGCAGUUCGACGUUAACCCUAUGGUGUACGCUGUACAUGUCGUGUACCUGCAAAUCCAUGUUUUGAACUUAGUAUCUUUUUCAAUGGUCAUGAGGGAAUGAUACUCUUUGAAGGAUUUGUUGUGGCAUUAAUUAUAAUUUUUCACAUGAUAAUUUGACGUCAGACAUUUUCAUACAACUCUCAAUAUAAUCUCUCAUGCAUAUUUCCUUCCGUAUCAUAACAUUUUUGGAAGGUUCAUAUAAAAUUGUCAUCUCAUUCUUUGUUGAACACUUGACUAUAUUCUUUUGAGCGUGACUUAUUUAUCUAGGGCAUAUCAGAGAGGAUUGAUAAACUACAUCUUUGGAUAAAUCAUUUAGAUUACUUUAUGUUUGACUUUGUUGCAUGGAUUUGUUGGCACAAGGGUUGUGUCGUUUGAAGAGACUUGUGGUCUCAACGUUGUUUGUUAAUAGGUUAGAUGCUAGGCAUCCAGACGUUUGUGUGAUAGGGCUGUUACCAUUACUCUACUAUAGUUGAUUUCUCUUUCGUGUGAAAGGGAGUGGAUGUACUUCGAUUGUGAGGACACACUAUAAUUAUUCCGGUGUCGUUACUUUCCGACAUUUUUAUUUUUCCGCACUUUAACAAAAAUCAAACGGAAAGUAGCUCGAAGAAUCAUUUUCAUCACCUACAUUCACCCCGCCCCCCCCCCUCUUAGGCGCAUUUACAACUUACAGUAUAUUGUUGAAUAAAACCUUGCUGAUGAUGUAAGGCAUUGUUUCAAAUCCCAAACACCAAAGAUAUAAGGAAGAUAAUCCCUAGUCAACCCCUUCGAGCCAAGGAGUAGGAGUUUCUUUCUAAAUAUGAAACCCUUAAUUUUAAACCGGGGCAGGGUAGUCGUCAGUUAGUUUGACCAUGCGUUCAAAUUCCAAAGAUAAAAAGAGGAGUGUCAUAUCUGAGGAUCGACCAUAUCUUAUCCCUCACAAGAGGUCGGAAACCCCCAAAUUCCAAAUGGUUGUCCCUCACCAACAAAGGAAUGAGGCAGUCAUAACCCUUCCCAAUCAAACGGCAAAAUGCCACAUGAAUUGUUUCAACAAAAGAAACAAGAAAAAAAAAAGCCCGCUAAUUCAAAAACUUGAAAAUGAGUGACUUAGGAAAAAGUUAGGGCACCCCUGUGGAUUGUAAAUCUGAACCAAUCCAGCAAAAAUAGGGAAAUGAAAAAAUGAAACAGAAUGAGGAAUCAAAAGAGGAUCCUCAACAAGAACAAAUUAGUGUGGCUAUAAACCAAAUAGAAGGUGCAUGAUUGCCACUCCAAAAAGAAAAAACCUCGUAGGUUCCUUUUCACUCCCAAAUCCCUUUUGGAAUAAGAGAGCUUGUAUCAAACUAGCUGAACGUAGGACUGGAGAACAUCAAGAAGAGUGGGUGGGUUAGGAUAGGUUUGAGUCUUACAUCCUUUCUUUCUGAAACCGUGAACCAUACCACUUUACAACCCUCAAAAGACCUAAUUGAAGCAAGGUUUAUUUCUAAAGCAUACCAUGGUUAGAAUAACCGUGUUAAAAUUGACUCCUUAAUGAUUUGUUCAUCAUUUAUGUUGAUAUUGAUAUGACAUUCUUAAUCAGUGAUGCAUUCAUUGUAUGUCAUAAUUCCAGUGAACACGCUUGGAUUUCAAAACUAGCAUAAACAUGACAUUGCUAUUAUCAUUUCCAAAAAUGAACAUGUGUUACUCAUGAGUGAGCAUCUGAUGUCAAGAGAGUUUUCAUAAUGAACGUGAAUUGGAAAGCUUGAUACCACCAAAAAAGAAGGAUGCCUAAAAGACUUUGUUAAGUAGAGGCAAAUUAUUUCAACUGAUUGAAUCAUAAGACAGAACACCUGAGAACCCCAUUCAGAAGAGACAGGUUACCUUGAUUCGAUCGUACUCAGAGAGAUAAACACCUAAGACGCUGUUGAGCAGCACCAAAUUAUUUUGAUUGAUGACAAUGAGUGUUGAAAGCCUGAGACUCCGUUGAUUAACAAUCGGUCACUUCUUUUGAUUAUAUCAAGGAGCAAAAUGUCCAAGGAACUCCGUUGAGCAGAAGGACAAGAUGUUUCAUAUUUCAAUCAAUCUGAGACAGUUACGUCAAGAAAUUUCAACAAGACUCAGUUAGUCUGAGAAAGUUAUGUCGAGAUUCAGUGAAUCUUUCCAAAGAUCAGAUAGUCAGGGGGUAAACUAUCCCAGUUGAUCGCAUCAGAAGACUAAACACCUAAGAACUCCGCCGAGCAGGGGAAAAUUGUUUUGAUUGAUCCUAUCAAGUGUUGAACGCCUGAGAUUCCACUGAGCAACGACCAGUCACGUCAUGUGAUUACAUCAAGAAGCAGAAUGUCUAAGAACUCUGUUAAGUAGAAAGAUAAGACACUUCAAUUUUCGGUCAAUCUGAAGCAAUCACGUCAAUAAAUCUCUAUAAGAUUCAGUUGAUCUAAGGAAGUUACGUUGAGAUUCAAAAAAUCUCUACAAGACAUUAGUUAAGGGCAUUCCCUCAGAGAUAUUCUAGCCAGGGGAAAAUUUAUUCCAAAACCUAUACUGGGGAAAGUUACCUCAGGAACCCAAGAAGUCAAUCUUCCGAGAUAGUUAAUCAAAGAUAUACAGUUCCAAGAAACUGGGGCAGGUCAGAUCGAGAUAGUUAUUAUGACAAAGCUGCUUUACAACUUAUUAUUGGGGCAAUACAUGCAGAUUCCCACUUGACUGGGGCAUGAAUGGCUAGAGAAGAAAGAUUCUUUAUAUACUUUUGAGGCUGUUCAGAGCAAGAUCUAUGGUGCAUAAGAGACUUCUAAGUUCGAGAUGAAUGUUGGGGAGUCACGCUAAACACAUCCCCUAACCUUUCAACAGAGAACCAUGAUCAUAAAUGAUAAACCCAAUGGUUAUUGGUACCCUGUGUUCUUAAUCUCCAGAUAUUUCCUACCAUACCGUCUAACCAAAAUCCUGACCAUGCAUCAACAUCUGGCAUAAGUAAUCAUGCAUUACAUAACAUUGCAUCAUAAAGCGCGUAGCAUAUUCCAUCAAGAUGGAGCAUUACCCCUUGCAAAAUAAACAUGCAUAUCUGCAUAAAAGUCCUUCUCGAAAGUGUAAAAGAAUCCUCUGAUAAGAUAUUCUUCCUCCCCAGUUGAGAACAUCGUCAUGAAACUUGGGAUUGGUAUUCCCCACAGGUUUCUCGAAGUCUCUCCUUUGCAAAUACCUUAGGAAUCUUCAAUCAGUCGUUUACCUUUCGUAAGUGAUCCCCUACCUUUUUCCUGGGAGGUCCUCUUUCCUUCUUUUAAUACUCUUUCGUAUUGAUUUGCAACACUCGUCCGUGUUAAUCAUCUCUUUUUCAAUACUCGUCCGUAUUGAUCUUCAACACUCGUUUGUGUUAAUCGUUUCAUUUUCGAUACUCAUCCGUAUUGAUCUCCAACACUCGUCCAUGUUGUUACAUUCCUUCAAUACCCGUUUGUAUUGAUCUUCAACACUCGUCCGUGUUAAUCAUUUCAUUUUCGAUACUCGUCUGUAUUGACCUCCAACACUCGUCUAUGUUGAUACCUUCUUUUUCAAUACUCGUCCGUAUUAAUCUUCAACACUCGUCCGCGUUAAUCAUUUAUUUUUCAAUACUCGUCCGUAUUAAUCUUCAACGCUCGUUCGUGUUGUUACUUUCUUUCAAUACUCAUCCGUAUUGGUUUGCAACACUCGUCUGUGUUAAUCAUCUCAUUUUCAAUACUCGUCCGUAUUGAUCUUCAACACUCGUAUGUGUUAAUCAUCUCAUUUUUAAUACUCGUCCGUAUUGAUCUCCAACACUCGUCCAUGUUGUUACCUUCUUUCAAUACUCAUCUGUAUUGACUUGUAACACUCGUCCGUGUUAAUCAUCUCUAUUUCAAUAGUCUUCCGUAUUGAUCGUCAACACUCAUUCGUGUUAAUCAUUCCUUCUUUCAAUACUCGUUCGUAUUGACCCUUAACACUCAUCCGUGUUAAUCAUUACUUCUUCCAAUACCCGUCCGUAUUGAUUUUAAUACUCGUUCGUAUUGAUUUUUAAUACUCGUCCGUAUUGAUUUGCAAUACUCGUCCGUAUUGAGCAUCCACACUCGUCCGUGUUGGUCCUUUGUCAAUACUCGUCAGUAUUGACCUCUAACACCCGUCCGUGUUGAUCUCUUUUACUCGUUUGUAUUGACCUCCAACACCCGUCCGUGUUAAUCAUUUCUUUUUCAAUACUCGUCCAUAUUGAUCUUCGACACUCGUCCAUGUUAAUCAUUUCUUUUUCAAUACUCGUCUGUAUUGGUCUUCAACACUCGUCCGUGUUGUUAAUCAUUUCUUUUUCAAUACUCGUCUGUAUUGAUCUUUGACACUCGUCCGUGUUAAUCAUUUCUUUUUCAAUACUUGUUUGUAUUGAUCUUCAACACUCGUCCGUGUUGUUACCUUUCUUUUUCAAUACUCGUCCGUAUCGAUCUUCGACACUCGUCCGUGUUAAUCAUUUCUUUUUCAAUACUCGUCUGUAUUGAUCUUUAACACUCGUCAGUGUUAAUACCUUCUUUUUCAAUACCUGUCCGUAUUGAUCUUCAACACUCGUCCGUGUUAAUCAUUUAUUUUUCAAUACCCGCCCAUAUUGAUCUUCAACACUCGUCCGUGUUAAUCAUUUCUUUUUCAAUACUCGUUCGUAUUGAUCUGCAACACUCGUCCGUGUUAAUCCUUCCAUUUUCAAUGCUCGUCCAUAUUGAUAUUCGAAACUCGUCCGUGUUAAUCUUUUCUUUUUUGAUACUCAUGCGUAUUGAUGUUCAACGCUCGUUCGUGUUGUUACCUUUUCCUUCGAUACUCGUUCGUGUUGAUCUUCAACAUUCGUCCGUGUUGUCACCUUUCAAUACUCGUCCGUAUUGAUCUCUAACACUCGUCCUUGUUAAUCAUUUCAUUUUCAAUACUUGUCCAUAUUGAUCUCCAACACUCGUCCGUGUUGUUACCUUUUUCCAAUACUCGUCCGUAUUGAUCUGCAACACUCAUCCGUGUUGGCCCUUCCUUUCUGACAUUCACCCGUGUUGAUACCUCAUUUUGAUACUCGUCCGUAUUGGAUUGAUUCACUCGUCCGUGUUAAUCCUCUUUGCAAUACUCGUCCGCAUUGACCUCAACGCUCGUCCGUGUUACUAAACCCCACUUGGUAUUCGUUUGUAGCGGCAUCCAUCAGUCGUAUGUGUGGACCUUACCCUCUUUCUUAACCUUUUGUUCAAAAGACCUCUUUUCCAAUACAGAGGAGCCGCUGCUACCUAUUGUGCGAGAAAAUCGUAUAUCCCCAGCCAACACUUUAUUUGCCUCUGUGAAAUCCUGUGGGAAUACCUCGAUCACCUGUUACAUGCCAAAACAUGACAGGGGAGGCAAGAAAAGAAUGAAAAAGAGAUGAAAACAGAAAAUGAAAAAAGAAAGAAUAAGAAAAAAGAAGAAGCUAAGAGAAAGACGAAAAAAAUAAUCAAUCAUCAAUCAUGCUGCAUUAGCAUAUUGCAUACGUCAUGCAUAUCUAACCUCUCAUUACCCAUCUACCACAUGACAUUCCAAUUCCCAUCAGCUUCCCUGCACAAAGACCUACUUGUUCAUCCCAAAUCCCAGUGAAGGAGUUCUUUGUGACCUAUCUUCACACUUCAUUUGUUCCUGGCGGGAAAAUUUCCUUAUAUUCUAGUAUUUAAUACUCUCAUACCUUCAUUGUCCAAACACCGUUGUUAUCCGUACAUUCAGGUUCGAGAAGAUUAAAUAGGGGCAGCUGUCAUACCCCAAAAUUUGCCUUACCCUUCACAAAGUUCAUUUAGGUCACUAACCCUAGUCAUAUGCAUGUCUUUAUAUCAUUCAUUUCAUCUGCAUAGCCAUUUGUAUGAUACAAAAGGGCAGGUAUCUUAGAUUCUGAGCUUUGUGCUUACACUUGGUGGAAGCUAAGUCUCCUAUACGGAUGAAGGGGGCUUAAUCGAUCAAACCCUAAUCGGAGGUGGCUCUUGAGGUUUAGGUGUAUUCCUAUCAUUGGUAACUCAACUUUGGCUAAGUGGUGAAGCAAAACCCUAAUCUUGGGAUCCUCACUUGAUCAUGGUUUCCACGAACUCUAAUGGUAUACAACGCUCUAUAGAUGGUCUCCAAAACCCUAUCUAUUGGGUCUUUCAUCAUUCCAUUGAGUGUGCCUUUCUCAACAACCUCCUGGUCAGGAGUCGUGCAUGUUGGUUUCUUGGGUUUGAUUCCAUAUAUCACUUGUUUCAAUGUGCAUCUCGUGCUUGUCCGUACCCGGUCAUCCGAUCAUUUGGUCAUUGAACAUUUAAUUUGUAUUCCUUUGUUUCAUUUGGGGUCUUAGUUGAUAUUUAAUUCAUAGGUUGUGUAUGGAUUUUAUCCCGUUAUAUGUCUCGAUUCAUUCCAUUUCAAGUAACCUAGUCAUUUCUUAAGUCAAUUUGCUCAACUAGCCAAUUUCAUUCAUGUUCGUCCAUAAAGAUAGUCAUUACAUUCAAAAAAGGUGCAAAACGAUGUAUAACGUAUUGCAAAACCCAUUUUUGGAAGUUUUCGUUCUGUGAGUCGACACAACACCCACGAGUACGAACAGGUCGACCCACAGAUCGACCUAGUCCUGGGGAAUUUGUAUGCGUUGACUCAUCCAGGCUUUGCAUUGACUCAUUCCUCAUUCUUCUAUAAACCAAUUCACCGCGGGUCCGAGCAGGUCGACUCAUUUCUGGGGAAUCUGGUGUGCAUCGACUCAUCCACCCUUUGCAUCGACUCACUUAUCAUUCUUCUGUGAACCAAUUCGUCGUUGGUCCGAACAGGUCGACCUGGAGCUCGACUCAUCCUGGAGAAUGCUCUAUUUAAGUCGACUCAUCCCCUAUUUGAGUCGACUCAACCUGUUUCUUGCUGCUGAAAUACUGCAAAAUGCAAAUUCUUGCCAUGCCCGCACAAUCACAUUGAUUCACACUCUGCAUUAACUCACAAUUGUGAGUUACUCCAAUAAAUAGCAGGUCAUUAGCCAACAUUAAAGCUUAAUUUCAUUCAAGUUAACCUGCAAUAACCAGUCAUAGAAACCAUUUGAACACAUUCCCCAAAACCAACCAACUAACUUCCAACUUAGUGAGUUAACCGACAAAACUCAUUGAGUUCAUCCCAACUAACUCCCAACCUCUUUUAACUAACUCCAAGCCUUAGGGAUCCCAAGCCUAAUCCCUAUAAAUUCCCAUCUUCACCAUCAUUUGAAGGUCUCUCCACUAUUCACUUCAACUUUCACUACUUUCACAUUUUCUGCAAACAUCACCUUCAACCUUUCUCACUUCAUCUUCCCUAUUUCUUCACCCUACACCAAAGCUCAAACUACCAUUGGAGCAAGCUUCACAUUGAAGCUUGUUAUCAAUUGAGGUAAAACUCUUGUACUCAACAAUCACCCCUGCACUCACCGACUCAACAUCGAUAAUAACGAUCCGGUUCAGAAUUUUUUUGGAGUUGAUUCUUGAAGGAUAAGAGUUCACAGUAGAAGCGGGAGAUCCAAGGUUCAACGUAGCAUACAUCUGUUUUUCUCCUCUUCAUCUUCAUCACUCCCGAAUUUCAACAAGUCCCAAGACAAUCCUCCGUCUUGCAGGUUGGUGAAUCUUUAUCUCUGUCUAACCGUUGAUAUCACCAUGUAGCUUGCAUAGGGGAGAAUCAAAACCCCAAGGUUCGGUGGUUUGAUUCUUCGUCACCUCCAUCUUCAUUAGCUCUAAGAUUUUUUUGCUUAGGAUUCUUGAUGUUAACUGCUUAAUUUCCUGAAUUUGUUGAGCUGUAAUUAAGAUAAAGAUUAGGAUAUGAGAGUUGGAGAUAAGUAAGAAUUUGGAGCCUUUUUCCUUGAAUCCGGCCAACUCCGCCGCCUCUGGCGCGGUGGUGCCGGAACUCCGGUGGUGGUUCUGUUUUACCUUUAUGUUGGGAUUGUUUGACUGGUCCAAGGAGUGUUCACUUCAUACCAUUCAUUGCCAUGUGUAACAUUAACAUGCAUGUUGAUAAAAAAAAUCGUAUUCAUUAUUGGUGGUGAAUUCUUGCUAACUGUGUUGUUUAAGCCUUAGGCUAAGCUACUGUUCAUCUUGAUCACGAUAGCCUCGUAAUUGAUUAGUCGAUUCUAAUUCCAAUUCUAUUCUCGUAAUUGUGUAUGAAAUAGUUUUUAAUUCCUGUUUUUGGGAUUUUGGAGUCACAUAAUUGUAGAGGUAAAUAGCUUAAUUCAUGUUCAAUUAAAUAUUAAGAUUAGGUAAUUAGUUAGGAAUUAGGCUUAAUCAUGUGCAUGUUAGACUAAUUUCUUAAUUUUUCCAAAUAUUGUUUUCACAUGAUCAACCAUUAUAGGCUUAGAAUUUCAUUUGGUUUACGAUGCUAAUUUCCAUGUACAUGAGUAAUCUCACUUUGACUAGAUUACGUUUCAUUUGUGGUUAAGGGCUGAACUGAAAAAUCCAUUUCAUUUUAAGUUCAUAUAGGUUUGUUCAUCAUGAUCAUCAUAUCACACCAUGCUAUUAUCAUACCCUCCCAUUCAUUUGAAUCGGAAUUUUAAUUCCUUCUUAUUUGAUGCAUACUAACCGGUGUUGUUUUGUGGCGACAUGCGAAUAAGAGAUCUCAACACUAUCCAAGUCCCUUUUAUUUUUAUUCGUUAGUUUGUAGUAUGCGAAGUGUCAUGCAACUUGUAUGGUUUAGGCAUGGCACAUGAGUUGUAAAUUGUAUUUUCCUUUCAUGCCUUCAUGUUGUAUUAUGUGGAUCCAUCCCCCCAUUAUGGGUUAAAUGUCCCUCUCCCCCUAGUCAUGUAAUAUCUUAGAUUUACUGCUUUCUAGUUACUUCACCAGGCAUGUUAAUAACCAAGAUAAAAUACAAAACGAUAAACAAAGCAUUUUCGAAAGAAACAAAAGGUACUUGAUUCAACGUCAAGUUUUUUUUUCCGAAUAAAACUCACACCAUUGCAACGCAAACACUCGAUUUGACGCCAAGUAUUCCCCACCCUUUCUUUCCCAUCUUAUCUCCUCAAUCGACCACUAUUUCAAAAUCAAUAAGCAAACCCUUGAUCCAACGUCAAACGGUCCUUUUUCAAAUCAAAUUCAAAAACACAAUAAAUACGAUUAGGAUUGUAUGCCACGAGCCUUAAGUGGUAAAGAAGAGAUGAGAAUGGAACUUUCCUACACUCGUUCUAAAUAGUUCGAACACAAGACGUUUGGCUUGGUAGUUUGAGGUAUUCACCUUUAUCCAUAGUCUUUAGUUCAAUCCGAAAUCAAUAACACUUUCGCAAAACAUAAACACAAUCCAACGCAUUCAAACCUUUUGUUUGAGCCUUAGGGCGACAGAAUCGAAAACCCUUCUUCAAGGUAAUAAAAAUCAACCAACCAAACAAACAUUUUAAACCCACGAACUACGGGGCUCUGAUUUCUCACUUCAACAAGUGGGCAUGCGUAGGCACAAGGAUCCAAAUCCUUGGAGAGCACACAUUUAAAAUCUACCUCCACUCCGCAAACCUUUGGUAAGCAAAGAUUCGAUAAACAACAUCUACGUAAGCGUAAACAUUCAAUAAACAACAUCCAUGUAAGCGCAAACACCCUAGAUGGUUCCUAUGGAGUACCAUAGAUGUAAGGGGUGCUAAUACCUUCCCCUUGCAUAACCGACUUCCAAACUUGUUCGUGGUUGCGAUGACCAUUCUUUGGGGUUUUCUCGAUAUUUUCCCUUUCCUUUGGAAUAAAUAAAAACCGAUGGCGACUCUGUAUUUUUCGCGUAGCGACAAGGGUCAAAUCAGAUAACCACUUCUUUACAAGAUGACCAAGUAAAUGAAGUGGCACAAACUCAGAAGAUGGGAUGGUCAACAAGGGCUAAAACUCAAUCAAUUAGGUUAAUUGACUAUGAAUGAUUUUGUGACCAAACCAUAAAUGAAAAUGGUAACGUGAUUGAAGAAGUAAUGAUAACUGAAUGUGAGCCAAUUAACCUCAAUCAAGACCUGAAAGACAAAAAUUGGCAAGAAGUUAAGAAGGAAGAAGUCAAGGAAAUUUUGGAGUUGGUAAACAACUCAAGCAAGAGAACCAUAGAUGUAAAAUGGGUCCAUAAGCUGAAGCUCAUACCAAAUGGUGAGAUAGCCAAGUAUAAGGUAAGGCUAGUAGCAAAGAGGUUUCUUCAAAGGUCAGGAAUUGAUUUUAGUGAGGUCUAUGCACCAUUUUCCAGACUUGAAACUAUAAAAGUUGUGGUGGCCAUUGCAACAUCCAAAAGGUGUAAGAUACAUCAAUUGGAUGUAAAGUCAUCUUUUCUAAAUGGGCCAUUAGAGAAUGGUGUAUAUAUAAAACAACCAAUUGGUUUGAGAUCAAAGGAAAAUAAGAAAAAUUGUAUAUGAUGAUAAAAGUACUAUAUGAAGUGAUAACUUUUACAUGAAUUUAGGAUUCAACAAAUGCACAUUAGAACCUGGAAUAUAUGCGAAAGGCUCAAGUGAAUAAGAUCAAAUAAUUCUAUGCAUAUAUGUGGAUGAUAUCUUGAUAAAAUUAUCAAAUUAAAUUGAAGUUUCAAAGUUCAAGACUAACAUGGAGAAUGAAUUUGAGAUGUCAUAACUAGGAAACAUGGCUUAUUUUCUAGGUAUGGAGUUUGUAAACAUAAAAUAUUGAUUUUUCUUGUACCUAAAGAAAUAUGUAGAAGAUAUCUUGGAGAAAUUCAACAUGAACAAUUCUAACCCUGCAAUUAGUCUUAUGGAAGAGGCUCUUUGGUUUCUCAUCAAAAUAUUUAAGUUAUAUCUUCCUUUGGUUAACUUUGCAAGUGUUUUUAGAAGAUCACAAGUUUCAUUUUUUAAGGUAUUACAUUCAUUUCACAUGUCAGAUUCAUUUUUUUUUAUAAAAGUGGAAGAGUUUUGGACUUGAUCAUUUUGUAUUUCUCUAAGAUUUUCUAUUUAUUUUUCAAGGAUUUUAAUUUUAGAUUCAAGAGAAGAAAUAAUAUCCUAGGAUAUAGAGACAAUUUCUUCCAAUUUACUUGUUUCUUUUGUUAUCUUCUUACAAAUGUGGAAAAAAGUUGAUAAGAAAAGUAAGAGGUUAUCUUAUCAUCUUGAUGAUUUUCCAUGAGACAAAUGUUGGCUUCUUCUUCGUCAUCUGAAGAUUCCAUAUCUUUAUCCUUCCAUGCAAUGUAAGGUUUCUUGCCCUUCUUAUAAGUUUCUUAUAUUUCUUCUGAUUUUGAUUUUCCUUUUAAGAAAACAUAAAGUUUGAUCUGGUGUAUCCUUUAUUUUCACAUAGGUAACAUGUGGGAUCGAAUGAAGCUUUAUCCUCAUCUUUUUCCUGUUUCUCUUUUUGUUAUUUCUCAUGCCCUAUGCAGGACCGACCCAAUCAUAUCGGAGGCCCCGUUCUAAUUAAAAAAAUGGGCUCAAUUUUUUUUAAAAAUAUAAUUAUAAUAAUUAAAAAAAUAUAUAUCAAAAAUACAAUUAUGUAUUAAUUAAAAAUAAAUUUAAUUAUAAUUAUUUUGAGUUCUGAUCAAUCUUGAUUUUUAUAUGUAUUGAGUUUUUAUCAUAAUAUUUCUUUCAAUUAUUGAGUUUUUUUAAUAACAUUUUAUUUAUUUUUAUUAAUAUUUAUAAAAAAAAUGAAAAUUUUAAAAGUUGGGGCCCUCUAAUAUUUGGGGCCCUGUGUUGCAGCACAUGCUACACUUGCACAGGGCCGGCCCUGGCCUUAUGAGUCUUUUAAAGUUUUCGACUAUAAGGGACAUGUCACCAUGAGAGUCAGAAUCUUCCACUUUGAGCACUAGGCUAUUGUUUUCUUUUCUCCUUCCUCAUAUAUGAAUGGACUAUUUAGUUCAAUCUCGAGUUCCUUCAAUUGACGAAAAAAAAGGUGUGUGUGUUCAUAAUUGCUAAAUCCCUAGAUUCACAAAUCAUAACGAAUUUAGGUUGCCAACUAUUGUUUAAGUACCUAAACAAUUUCACAACUAAUUCCUCAUUUGAAAAUAUUUUUUAUAGAGUUCUCAAAUGACUCAGGAUAUGCAUAAACCGUGUUUGCAUCUUAUUAAUGUUUUGUUCAUGUUUUAUCAUUAAAAGUUCAUACUCCUAAAUUAAUAUGCCAAACCUUGUCCACUUUAACUAAAUAGUCCCUUCGUGGUUACUUUAGAGGAUGUUCACAUUUUUUUUAGUCUUGCAGUGAGAAACUUACAAAAAUUCAUCAAGACCAAGAGUGGUAGUGAUGACAAUUUUUGUUUUCAAAAUGCGCUGCACAUUUUCUUUAUCAUCUUUGGUCCAAUCCUUUUUUCAAGUUUGUUCACUACAACACUAUCAACAUCGUGUGUAUGAACACUACCACAAUCCAUCCCUUUUAUCCCCCUAUCCUAAAAAAAUAGUUUUCAUAAGCUGAACACAAAAAUUGAGUGGAUAUUUUAUAUAACUUUUCCAAUCUGAGUUUUAUAACCGAGCAAUAGUGGCACAACACUAAUAUAACUCUUUCCUCACAAGAAAAUUUCAUUCAUAAGGCACUAAGGAAACUUCGGUGAAAAAGAAUAUAUAUAUAUAUAUAUAGAGAGAGAGAGAGAGAGAGAGAGAGAGAGAAGAGAAGAGAUAAAUUAUAGAAAAUUAGGAAAAUCCCAAAUUCUAGUGUGAAAUUAAGUGAGGAGAAACCUCCUUUAUAUAGGAAAAAAAUUGGAUUUAUAUGGAAAUAAUCCAUGUGCCUUUUAAAUGACCUAAUCAAUUAGAUAUUUGAAAUAAUAGAUCAAUUUAUGCUGAAAAAAGAAAGUUUUAAUAUAUAGUCAUUACUAAUUAUAUUUUCCAAAAAAUUACAGGGUGUGCGUGGUCCCCCUGCAAGGACAUGGAGAAUUUGAGGCCCUAAUAGGUAUAAUAUAGUUUUGAGGGGCGAGGGCUAGCUCACGAAGGUGACUAGCCUUGUACCAUGGUUUUUGAGGUUGUUUGAAGGACCAAAUCACAUGAGGUGAAAUGUCGUGUUGGUUGUCGACACUGUUGGGUGCAGGCGGGUGGUUGAAUUGACGAUGUUAGGACUACUCGGAGCGUAGCACCGUCCAAGCAAUAAUGGAUAUGUAUGCCUUGAUCUUCUCUAUCCCCUUGAGGGAUAGUGUAUUUAUAGGGUCCUCGAUAUCUAGGGUGUUUGCAUCCUGAACAUGGUCUUAACUGCUCCUCGCUUACUAGGAAGUUAUUGACUGCCGAUAUUCUUGAAGUCAGUGAGGAAUCUCUCUCAUGUGUCCCCUAUGUAUGUUGGACCUCCUAAGAGAAUCCCUUAAAUUCCUUUUGGGUGGUCCAUCUGCUGGGCGAGAUCGUCCUAGUAUAUGACUUCAUAAAUAUAACAUUACACAGUCUCUUAAGCACAAGGGAUUUUCGUUAAAGGGAGAAGUGUUUAAUAUUUGAGAUGGGUAAUAAUAUAUUUUUACUCUUUUGUUUAUUAUUUGUGAUUAUUAAUAUAGUUAUUAAGAUGAAAUUUUCAGAUGAGUAAUUCAGAGAGGAAUUACAAUGUUGGCCUCAUAUUGGCGAAAUUAUGAUUUAGAGAGAAAUCUUGAGUAUGAGUUUUGAGUAUAUUUUCUGUUGUUUUGAGUUUAUUGAAUUCUGUUGUCAUGUUCAUGCAUACAUGUAUAUUGGAGUUAGGUAAGACUUAGGUCCGGUGAGGUCAGGAUCAGAGAGGAACCAUGACAAUCUCAAAUUCAUAGAGGAACACGAUUCAAAGAGGAACCAAAGACAUGGAUAAAUUAGUAACACACCUAUGAUACCAUAUUGGAGGAGAAGUAUACUGCAUUAUGCAUUUUUAUUAUAGUUAUUGUUGUUGUUGUGAACUUUAUGUGGGAAUGAUGAUAGAUGUUGUUAUGACUAACUUGCUAUUUAAUUUUAUUGUUAACAUCUGUAAAGUUAUUCUCACCCCAUUUUAUUUAUUUGUGGUGUUUUGUACUCUCUUGGGGUACAAAUAAUCAGGUAAAGUAGUAACUGCUUUAAGCUGGAGGAUGGCGUGAAGGCCUCUUCGUUUACUUGUUGUUUUCUAAUUCUUUUGUUUAGUACCUUUUGUCGCUCUGAUAAUGUAACAUAUGGGGUAUGGCCGUUGUUUCCUUUUAUUUUUCUAAUUAUUGAGUUGAGAUCAAACUGAUAUUUUAUUUGAGUAAUUUUUUUUGAGAUCAUGAGAAGGUAUUGUUAUAUGUUUUAUAAUUCUGCUGCAAUAUGUUUAAAUGGAUGAAAGAUGUUUUAUUUUAAGAAUACGUGACACCCUUUGGUGACAAAUACUCUAAUUUAUUUUAUAAAUUACGCGCCAGGUUUAGGGUGUUACAAAAGGGGUCUUGUUGAACUGGGGAAACAUAAUCUGUUGGGUGGUGACAAAGUCCAAAAGCUUGAAUUUUGUGAACCUUGUGUGUUUGAUAAAUCCUGCAGAGUGAAGUUUAACAAAGGAAAACAAAGAACACAUGAAUCCCUUUGUUACAUUCAUGCGGAUCUUUGGGGUCUAGAAGGAGUCUUUCACACUCAGGUGCAAAGUAUUUUCUAUCCAUAGUUGAUGAUUAUUCCAGAAAGUUAUGGGUAUUCAUUCAGAAGACUAAGGAUGAAAAUUUUGAAAAUUUCAAAAGUUGAAAGACUCUGGUCAAAAAUUAGAUUGGCAAGAAGGUCAAGUGGUUGCGAACCUAUAAUGGCCUUGAGUUAUGCAAUAAAGCUUUCGAUAGUUACUGUAGUAUGUAUACUAUUGCAAGGCACAAGACUACUGCGGGUACUCCUCGGUAAAAUGGCUUGGCUGAGAGAUUCAAUCGAACAAUCCUAGACAGGGUUAGAUGCAUGUUGGUUAGUGUAAGAUUGAAGAAGGUGUUUUGCGCUGAGUCUGCAGUGACUACAACAUACCUGAUAAAUAGGAGCCCCUCGAUUGCCUUGGGAAUGAAGACACCUAAAGAAGACUGGUCGAGACUUCUACCUAAUCUCGACAGACUUAGAGUAUUUGGCUAUUUAGAAUAUGCUCACAUUAGGCAAGACAAGGUUAAACCUAGAGCUAUGAGAUGUAUGUUUCUUGAAUACCCUGAAGAAGUCAAAUCUUAUAGGUUGUGGUGCAUAAAGUUAAGUAACAAGAGAUGCAUCACAAGUCGAGAUGUAGUUUUCAGUGAAUCAGAAAUGGCGUUCAACAAAACUGAUGAUUUUGGUCGAAAUACGAAGAUCUUUGUACAUGAGUUGGAACAUGAAGAGAUUCUUAUUGAGGUAGAGCGUAUUGAUGCUGAAUUGCACAACUCAAAUGAAGUUGAAUAAGAAGCAUAAGUUGCUGAUGAAGAUAAGGAGAAUGAUAAUUACUAUCUGAUGGUAAGAGACAGGUCUACUAGAGUCAUCAAGCCACCUCAGAGACUUGAUUAUGCAUAUCUCAUAACUUUUGCCUUAAUCUAUGCAAGUGAGGUUCUUGAUGAAGAACCUAGAUACUACAAGGAAGCUAUAAGGAGUCAAAACAAGACUAAAUGGAUGAAAUCCAUGGAUAAUGAUAUGAAAUCUCUUCAUGAUAACCAUACUUAGGAGCUGAUCGAGAAACCUGCUGGAGCCAGGUUAGUCAGUUUUAAGUGGAUUUUCAAGGUUAAGAAAGGAAUUGAAAGAGUGAUGUUGAAGAGAUUUAAGGAAAGGUUGGUUGCUAGGGGGUUCACUCGGAAAGAAGGAGUCGAAUUCAAUAAUGUGUUCUCUCCUGUUGUAAAGCAUAUAUCCAUUAGAAUGUUGUUACCCAUGGUGGAAAAGUUUGACCUAGAACUUGAACAAAUGGAUGUGAAGACCUCCUUAUUGUAUAGUGAUUUAGAUGAAACAAUCCUGAUGAGGCAAACUGAAGGGUUUGCAGAAAAAGGAAAUGAAGAUUAUGUGUGCAACCUGAAUAGGUCUUUAUACGGCCUGAAACAAUCUCCUCAUCAAUGGAAUAGGAGAUUCGACAAGUUCAUGACACACAUAGCUUUCACUAGGAGCUAGUUAGACCAUUGUGUUUACUUCAAAUUUUGAUCUGGAAACCCAUUUAUUACUUUGUUUCUUUAUGUGGAUGACAUCCUCAUACAAAAAAACCAUGGAGAGGAUGUUAUGAAGGUGAAGGCUGAAAUCGAUAAGGAGUUUGACAUGAAGGAUAUGGGAGUUACCACCAGGAUUCUUGGGAUUGGCAUUCGAAGAGAUACAAAAUAGUCGAGAUUAUGCUUAUCUCAAGAGACAUACUUGAAGAAGAUUCUCGAUAAAUUUGGUAUGUCGAAUUCAAAUCCUAUUGUAACACCGACAAAUCCUCAAUUCAAGCUGAGUACGACUCAAAGUCCUAGUAUUGAGGUUGAAAGAGUCUAUAUGAAUAACACUCCAUAUCCUAGUAUUGUAGGUUCUUUGAUGUGUGUUAUGGUUUGUACGAGAACAGGCAUAACGAAUGGAGUGAGCCUUGUAAGCGGGUAUAUGAUCAAUCCUGGGAAGGCACACUAGAAAGCUUUAAAGUGGAUUCUAAGAUACAUAAAAGGAUCCCUGAGUAGGGUCUUGAUUUAUGAUGGAGCCAUGAGUGAUGGUGAAGCCGAAGUCAGAGGACUUGUUGACUCUGACUAUGCAGGAUGUAUGGAUACCAAAAAGUCUCUUUCUGGAUAUGUUUUCACUAUGUUUGGUACAACAAUCAGUUGGAAAGUUUCUCUUCAGAAGUUCGUUGCCUUAUCAACCAUUGAAGCUAAAUAUAUUGCCAUCAUUAAAGUUAUGAAAGAAGCAUUAUGACUUGAAAGGAUUGUUAAGGAACCAGAACUUCAAGGUCAAGCUAUCACUGUUAAAUAUGAUAGUCAAAGUGUCAUACAUAUGUCGAAGAAUUCAGCCUAUCAUGAGAGAAGAAAGAACAUUGAUGUUAGGUUGCAUUUCGCCAGGGAGAAAAUUGAAAGUGGAGAAGUCAAAGUGAUGAAGGUUUCAAUAGAUCAUAAUGAUGCAUAUAUGAUCACCAAGUCAUUUCCAAGUAGCAAGGUAUUUCACUGUAUGUAGUUGUUAAAGCUGCAUGAUGAAAUCUAGUUUGUUCCCUUAAUGUUGUAAAGUUUGUUCUAAGAUGGGGAUUUGUAGUAUUUUGGAUCGAACUCUAGUCUCGAUAGGGAUAACUUCAUGUUUUGACAGGAGUUAUGCAUGCUGUAGUCGAAGUCUGUUCAAGCAUGCAGAAGUCGAAGAUGUGCAUGUUGUAGUCGAAGCUUGUUCUAGCAUGUAGUUGUAUAAGUUAGCUUGCUAGUUAAUCUAUCUUAGUGCUUAAGUAGCUUGUUGGUUAAGCUAGCCUGUAGUCUAUAAAUAGAAUGCUCCCUCAGAUUGUUGAGAGAGGGUUAAGUUUGAUUGAUAUUUGCUUGUAAAAAAAUUGUGAAAAUAAAUAGUAAAACGGUUUUAACUAAUUCUUAUUCUUGUUCUUCUCUCUUCUCUCUCUAUCGUAAAUCGAAAAAGGAUUUCUUGUGUUUGUUUAAGAAAUUCAAUAUUUCUCAUAAUUGUAUUCGUUACUAGUGCAGUAUUUGUUACAACAACAACAACAACAAUAAUAAUAAUAAUAAUAAUAAUAAUAAUAAUUAUUAUUAUUAUUAUUAAUAAAAAUACUCCUUUCUAUCUUAGAAAAAUUGUAUUCGUUACUAGUGCAGUAUUUGUUACAACAACAACAACAACAAUAAUAAUAAUAAUAAUAAUAAUAAUAAUAAUUAUUAUUAUUAUUAUUAAUAAAAAUACUCCUUUCUAUCUUAGAAGGUUGAAAAUAUAGUUUUAAAAUAUUAAAUUUUAAUGAUUAGCAAUUUUUUUAUAUUACCAUUUUAAUAAACAUAUUAAAGAAAAAAAAUACAACACAUUAAUCUGCUUAAAGGAUACAAAUAUUUUAUUGUUUCCAACACAACCUUCUCUUUAUCUACAAUAAAUGAGUCAAAUAAUAUUCUAUUAUUAUAUGUAAAGAGAAAAAAAUAUGACUAAAACUCUCAAGUUUGUGUAUGUCAUGAUUUUAUUUUUAUUUUUAGUUGCAAGGAAUGAUGGAGCCGGUAAUUUAUUUUCUCAUCAUUUUCAAUUUUUCUUCUAUAAACUUUAUCUUUUAUAUUAUGUUAGUAACAUUAUUUUACCAUUUUUUUUUCAUUACAGAAUCACGACUAAUUAUUUGUAAAACAGAUGUCGAUUGUCUAGAUAGAUCCGAGUUUCACAAGUAUAUAUGCAUUAGAAAAAGAUGUAGAAUUUUUUUAGUGCCAUUCUAGGAUAAAAUAAACUUAACAAAAAAAAACUUCUAAUUAAAUUAAAAUUUCUAUACUAAAAUCAAUCAACAAGAUUAUCAAGAAUAUCAAGAGUACGCAAUAUCUGAAACAUUUUUUUUCAUAUGAAAUAUGCAUAUGUGUUGCGAAAGAAGGAGCAUCAGAAAUAUCAAGAAUUAAAUCUUAUAUUUAUUACUAGAAGAAUGUCUUUUCUUUGAAGAAUACUUGACCAUCUAUUGUCAAAAUGAUUAAUGAGAUAAAAUACUUGUUUUUCUUUGGAUUCUAUGAUGAAUGAUUCUUUCAUAUAAGUUUAUUUGCGAAGGUCAACUUGUGGGAAUUCUAACUAUUUGGUUUGUACAUUAGUGUUAUUGUUAGUCCAUUUGCAUUUAAAUAAAGAAACAUUGAAUACAACAUAAUCAAUCUUCUAAAUCUCCUCAAUAAUCCUAAAGUACGUUCUGGAUACAACAUAAUCAAUCUUCUAAAUCUCCUCAAUAAUCCUAAAGUACGUUCUGGAUGCCAUAAAAAAUUAUUUUCCUUUGAAUUAGAGAAGUACAUGAACUCUAUCUCAACCAUAACCCCACUAUUUUGCACUAUAUUACAAUUAUCCUUUGAUUUUGUAUAAAAAGAUAUGGCAACCCAAAAAGAAAAUUGUAAAUAUAAAAAAUUUAAAGAAAAACAACACAUUGUGGUGUUUCGUUUUCAAUUUUUUAUCAUUCAUUAUUUUUUUAUAAUAUAAGCCAUUUGUUGCCAGGGUUGCUAAAACUCAUCGAGGGAAAAAAUAGCUUAAAAAUAAAUAAAAAAUAAAACUAAUGAUGUUAUAAUUUGAAGUGUGUCCGUGAGAGACAUUUCCUCGUGGUUGUUAAAGAUGAUUGAAAAAAAAUUGAAUUAAAAAAAAACGUCACUUUUAUAAUGAAUAAAACAAAAAAUUGAUGGUGUUGCGAAUUGAAAUGUAUCCCUGAAAAAAUCUAUGAUUGAUUAAAUUGAUUGAGGGUGAAAGAGACUUAAAAAUUAAUAUCAAAGAGUAUCGCCUAAAGAUUUUUCUUUUAUUUCAAUGCAUUAAUUGAUCCAAAAAGUUCGUCAAAAAAAUGUAUAAUUCAUUAUUGUGAAUAAAAUCCCCCCUUAUCUUAUAAAAUAUCAAGAAGUAUGAAAUUUAAAAUAUCAAGAAAUCUCAAAAACAUCUAUAGAAAUAAUUUUUUUUGGAAGUGCACACAUUUUUCGAAUACAAUCAUCCCAAAUGCAAUUGGAUAAAGUGCUUCAUCAAACAAAACUAAUAUUAUGAAAAGAUGCAUUAACAAGACCAUCCGAACAAAAAUUCCCUUUUCAAAAGAUAUGUGACACUUUAAAACAAAAACUUAUAAUUAGAUUGAGAUAGCUGGAUCAACAAUUUUGAAGGAUCCAAAGCAUAUUUUUAGGAUUAGAAAAAACUUGAAACACUAACUGAAAAUAACUUUUAUGUCAUAAUUUAAGCUAAUCGUUAGCAUAAACUAUUUCUACCGCUAACAUGACAAUAAUCAGUUAUGCAUUGCAUUUUCAAAAUUAUUGAUACCAAGUGGUCGAGAAAAAGCAUCUAAAAAUACUUUUAACUUGUUCAAGACCCCUCAUUAAGCAUUGUAUUUGAUGACAUGAUUGGCGACUAAUUCCCAUUAAAAUAAUAGUUUUAAUCAACUACAACAACAAUCCUUAGUUUUUCUUUUAGUCAAGCAUGCGAAUUUCUAAACUGUACUUCAUUUUGGAUUUUCUCAAAAUCUUAAAUUUUUUUUUCCUCCCAUAAUCUUAAUUUCUCUUUUCUUCUCCAAUUUAUUUUUCUUUUCUUUUUGCAAUCAAGGUGUGGUUGAUUCACAGUUUUUCAUAAGUUUGAUGAACUUUCAACAUCAAAAAUUUGACAAAAUUCCAACAAUUGUCCUGCCCUUAAGAAUACUUUCCUUGUACUGCAAGACGCACUCCUUAAUGUCUUUAUCCAGGUUCUUCUGGGCAUGAUGUAGUCAUCAUCAAAAUACUUUUGUGAUGCAAUACCAUAAAACAUGGCACACAAUGACCCAAGUUUCUUGCCACAAACUCUCCUCCUACUAGUUAUUGUUAAAGUUACUGACUACUACAAAUAACAUAUGUAAUGUCGAAAAUGAAAUGAAUUUCACCUCAGUUACAAUGUCGAGGUAACGAAGGAUGACAUGAAAAAUGAGAACUUUACCCCUUGACUUAAAAAUAGCCGAGAGAUAAUUUAAAUGGUCAUGGAUUCGAAACCCAACAAUAUAUUUUUUAUAUUUUUCAAACUAGCAUCAUAUACCUCUCGGUUUAAUAACAAAACCGAGAAUAUAUAUAUAUAUAUAUAUAUAUAUAUUUAAUAUAUAUAUAUAAUAUAUAUAUAUAUAUAUAUAUAUAUAUAUAUAUAUAUAUAUAUAUAUAUAUAUAUAUAUAUAUAUAUAUUAUAUAUAUAUCAUUACAUUGUUUACACAUAAUAUUAAUAAAAUAAUUUGCUUACAAACUAUAUUGUUUACACAGAAUAUUAAAGUAAAAAUAUUAUUCUUUAUCGUCAUCGUUGUCGGUGAAGAAUAAAUGAUGGAUAUAUUUAAAAAAAACAAAUAUUAGGGAUCCUCGUUUCAUUGAUCUAAAGGAAAAUCAAAUACCAAAUGCAAUAUAUUUUCUAUGACUUUCGCAUUAAUUUGUUUCUGAUAUAAAACAAAAAAAAAGGUUAAAUAAAUAAAAUAAAUAUUCAUUUAAGAGAUUAGGUAAGAAUACAAACCUUGAACCAAUUUUUUCCGGUACUUGCAAUCUAUCACAUAAAUCUUUGGCAAAGUAAAUACAUCUCACCAACCACAUAUUAAAUAAACCUAAAUUUUUUCUGCUCUUGCGCAAUCUAUCACAUUGAUACUUUUACUUUGUAAAAUCUCAUGACACUCUGAUUAAACAUAAAGGGUUUCACAACAACCUUUAGGUUUCUUGUGAUUCACUACUAUCAAAUUUUAAUAUUCAGAAUACUUUUAUAAUGAGGAUUGUAGGUUUCACAAAGAUCACUAAUGACAGUGUCUUGAGCGUUGAUACUUAUUAAAUAGAGGAUCAAGAUUUGUUUAAGGACAGUGAAAAAAUUGAAAAACACGUUAAUAUUUUAUCUCGGUUAUUACUCAAAAUCGGGGUAAAUGUGUUUCUUUUUAAAUAAAAAACAAUAAAAUACGUUCCGACCCAAACGUCACAUACUUCUCGGUUUUUGUUAAAAAUCGAGGGGACACAGUUUUUUUUAUAUUUAUAUUGUUUACACAGAAUAUUAAAAUAAACUAUUUAAACAAAUCAAGAGUUUGACUAUGGAUUUUUGGAGAACAACUCAUCUUUUCAAAUUUCUGAUAAGUUAUCUGUUUUAAAUAAAUGACAUUUUUUUCUAUACUUUCAAUCCAUCAUAGAGAGAUUUCAUUAUGUUAAGCAAAUGUUUGCAUGACAAAUGCUUUUACAUGAAAUAGAAAUUGAUUAUGGUGUUUAUGAAUAAAUUUUUCAAUGUUUUCAACUGAAGAAAAUAAUAACUUUUUUAAUAUUUUCUUUGAUUGACAACAUAGGAAGGUUAUUACAUAAAUACAACAACAUCAAUAUCAUUAUGUGAGAUAGAUUGCAAAAUAUUUUAUUCCGUACCAAAGAAUGAUGCAUAAAGACUUUGGAGCGGUUACAUAUAAGUUAAGUUUAUGAUAAAAUUUGAUUAAUGAGUGCUUUUAUAAUAAAUAUGAAAAUUUAAUCUCUCCGUUAUUAAAUAUAACCGAAGAAAUAAAUAAUUAAUUUAAAAAUAAAAAUAAAAAUAAAAAGAAAGACACUAUUUUAAAAAAAAAUGUUGAGGAUAGGAUUCUAAACAUGUUAUAAAAUACUUUUCCUUUUUAAUUUUAUUUUAAAAUCGAUGUAAUAUAUGAUAUUUAUUAAAAAAAUAUAUAAAAUAUGUCAUGUACUGAUCCUUUACCUUAAUUUUUUUAUUUAUAGGAGUGAUUUCUCAUUAUUUGAUUUGAGUUGAAGAAAAGUUUUCAAUUGUUAGCAUGAACCAACUCUUUUCGAGAUGUGUGGAACACGUUAAUAUUUUAUUUUGUGUAUGACUAUAUUGACACGUUAGUUUUUGCGUUAUUAAUGAUAAUAAUAAUAAUAAUAAUUAUUAUUAUUAUUAAACAUACCCCUUUCUAUCUUCAAAGAUAGUUUUAAAAUAUUAAAUUCUAAUUAUUUACAAUUUUUUUACUAUUUUAACAAAUAUGUUAAAUAAAUAAAAUACAUCACAUUGAUCUGCUUAAGAGACAAAAAAAAUAAAAUAGAAAUGAAAUCUUAAAACUCCCUAAGAGAUACCAAUAUUUUAUAUUUGUAGCAUAACCUUCUAUUUAAAUUUAAACAUUAUAAAAGAGUCGAAUAAUGUUCUAUUUAUUUAUUGUAUGUAAGAGAAAAAAAUAUGGGUAAAACUCUCAUGUUUGUGUAUGUUGUGGUUUUAUUUCUAUUUCUAUUUUUUGUUGCAAGGAAUGAUGGUGGCUCACGUAAUUUAUUUUCUCAUCAUUUUCAAAUUUUCUUCUAUAAACUUGUAUCUUUUAUAUAUCAUGUUAGUAAUAACAUUAUUUUACUAUGUCUUUUUUUUACAGCACGACGAUUUAUUCCUUGUAAAACACGUGCUGAUUGUCCAGAUAGUUCUGAGUUUCAAAAGUAUAUGUGCAUUGAAAGCCUAUGUAAACUUAUUAGAUUGAAGUGAAUCACUCUAGUAUAAAAUAAACUUGAUGAAAUAAAAAAGUUUCUAGUUAAAUUAAAAUUGCCUUGUUAAAAUCAAUUAACAAUUUAUGUCAACAAUGCCAAAUCAAUUGAAAAAUAAGUCAGAUAAGUAGGAAUAUUUACCGCAUACCCCACCUUGUUCCUAUAUUUUUAUAUUUUAUAAAAAAAACAUCAACUUCGUCUUUAUAUAUUUUAAAUUAAUUCAUAAUUUAAAAAAAAAAAAAAAAUUUAUUUUAUGUAUCAAAAGAUUUUAAAAAAAAUUAUGAUAGUCAAUUCUUUAAAAAAAAUUAUUUUUAUUUUGUAUAUCGAAAGAUUUUUCAAAAGAGUUCUAGUAGUUAGUUUUUAACCUUAACUUUUAUUAUGUGUAUUGAAAAACUUUGUAAAAAAAUUCGAUAGUCAAUUUUUUAAUUUUUAUUUUGCAUACCGGAAGACUUUGUAAAAGAGUUUCGAUAAUCAUUUUUUUUUAUAUUUUGUGUAUUAAAAUAUUUGCAAAAGAGUUUUGAUAGUCGAUUUUUAACUUUUAUUUUACGUAUCGAAAAAGUUUUGUUAAUCAUUUUUAACUUUUAUUUAAUGUACCGAAAGAGUUACGAUAGACAGUUUUUUAAAAUAUUUUUUAACUUUUAUUUGUGUAUCGAAAAUUUUGCAAAACAGUUCUCAUCGUCAUUUUUUAAUAUUUUUUUACUUUUAUUUUACGUACUAGAAGACUUUGCAAAGGAGUUCCGAUAGUCAUUUCAGAAAUAUUUUUUAACUUUUAUUUUAUAUACCGGAAGAUUUUACAAAAAAGUUUCGGUAGUCAAUUUUUAACAUUAAUUUUUUUAUAUAUCGGAAGACUUUGGAAAAGAGUUACGAUAAUAAUUUUUUUUUAAUAUUUUUAACAUUUAUUUUCUGUACCGAAAAACUUUGUAAAUAGUCAAUUUUUAUAUAUUUUUUAAAUUUUAAUAAAUUAUUUAUAUGAUGACAUUUUAGUUUAAAAAAAUAUAAUGUAGGGGUAGGGGAAUAACUGAUGGGGUAUGGGAUAAAAUUUUCUACAAGUAGGGAUGGUAAAACGAGUCGAACCCGUCAGACCGAUUCGUUUGACCUGCCAUUUUUGUUGGCCCGGAUCAAAGUUUUCGACUCGCUGCCUUAAGUUGGUAUGUCCCUCCUAAUUCGCUUUAAAAACGGGAUGGGCCGGGGCAAAAAAUUUCGCAGGUUUUUUGUAAAAAUAAAUUUGACUUUGAAUUAAAAUUAAAAGUAUAUCGAGGAGAUUAAUCCACUGUUUUUUUUUCUUUAUGAUAAAAAUCAAAAUUUGAAUACUUACGUCUAACAUUUCCAUGAAUUGAAAAUUUUAUUUUCGUGUUGUUUCACUUAGAUGGAUGGUGGACAUAAGUUGCAACCAUAAAGCUAAAUAAUUUAUCAAAUAGGACUUAAAAGAUUAAGAAGUAAUAAAAUAGUAAAAAAAUAUAUUAUUAUUUAAUAAAAUACUAUAACUUUUUAUAUAUUUUAUUAUAUAAUGAUUUCUUAAAAUUGUGAAUUAUUAUUUGGAAGAUAAUGAAAUAGUAUUUUUUUUUAUUAUUGUUUAAUAAAAUACUAUGAUUUUUUAUAUUUUUUAUUAUAUAAUGAUUUCUUUAAAUUAUAAAUUAUUAUUUGGAAGAUAAUGACAUGAAUAAAAAAUAAACUAAAUAUAAAAAUUUAUAAACAAAGCGGUAAAUCAAAUUGUAAAUAAACUAAUAAUUAAAAAAUUGUAAAUAAAUUAGUAGUUAAACUAAAAGGAAAAAGAAAAAAGUUUGACGGAUCGGCUCGUCAAUCUGCCAGCUUGUUAUUAAACAGGACGAGAUUGAUUUUUGAGCUCGAUCACUUAAAUUGAUUUGUUCCUCCCUAUUUUUGAAUGGAUUUAAGUGGGACGAGUCUAAAAGAGGCGGACGAUCGAUUUUGCCACUUCUAUGUACAAAUAUACAAAAUCAUCAUCAAAUAAUAAAUUUCAGUUAUAUCUACUAAGAUGUUAUUUUCAUCAAUAAUAGUAUUUAUUUAUAUUUAUACUAAUUUUUUAAUUAUAGUUUGGUAUUCUAAAAUCUUAAAAAUAAUUUAAUUUAAUUUUGCAUGUGUCGACAUGGCAACCAAUUAAAGCAUAUUGUAAAAUAUUUAAUAGUUAAAAUGAAAAAAAUAUAUUUUAAUUAAAAACUCAUAAUUAUAAUUCCAUGUCAUAAUAAUGUUACACUUUUGAGUUUUCAAACAAUUUAAAUUAUACUUCUCUUAGAUAGAUAGUCCAAUGAAUUCUUCACCAAAGCUCGUCUCCCCAAAGCCUUCGCAAUUGAUUUCAUUGCUUUAAUCCAUAAGUCCCACAAUCUUCAAACUAUCAACGAUUUUUGACUUAUCACUCUUAUUACAAUUGUUUAUAAGAUUAUCUCCAAACUAUUAGUGGGAAGAUUUAGAAAAGUCAUCGGAAAACUGGUUUCAAUGAACCAAUCUACUUUUGUCCUUGACAUAAGUUUAUCUGAUGUAAUUCUUAUUGUUAAUGAGGUAGUUAACUAUGCUCGAAGGAAUAAGAAAAAUUGUUCGUAUUUAAAGUUGACUUCGAGAAGGUCUUUAACUCAAUUUCUUAGAAUUACCUUCUUUAUGUUCUCAAGAGAAUGAAAUUCAAAAAUAUUUAGAUCAAUUGGAUUCGAGCAUGUGUUUGUUUGUGUGUGUAAGCGCGAGCAUAUGUUUGUGUUCUAAUUCAUUCUCAAUCCUUAUUAAGAUAUUCCAACAACUGAUUUCCAAACUGAGCGUGGUCUUUGGUAAGGUGACCCACUAUCCCCUUUUCUAUUCAUCCUGGCAGCAGAAGGUUGAACAUGUCUUCUGAGAUGUGUAAGCUCUUCUUUGGAUUUUAAACCUUUUAAGAUGAAGGGUAACUUGGAUGUUGAUUUACUGCAAUUCACGGAUGACAUUUUAUGCUAAGUAGUUAUCACAAAUUUUCUCUUCUAGAGAUGCUCUGACUAAAUGAAAUUUCUAAUCCACUUGUCCACCUCUUUAAUUAAAGAAAUGUGUCAAAUGCUUAUGCCAAAAAUAUAUAUUAAAAUAUGAUGUGAGUCACUUUUCAAGCCAAUUGAACUCUUAUUACAAACAAAAUAAGAUAAACCUUCUUAUAAGCAAGUGUAUAUUUAAUUUUGUAAGCAAAACCUUGCCCAUAACUAACUUUGGACUUACCAUUAAAAAUUGGGAUCCCCAAAUGAAUGAAAGGAGUGGUGUCAAUAAAAGAGCCUAAAAGCUCAACAAUUAAUUGUUGUCUCCUAUCUAAAAAUUGAACUAGAUUAAAUGAUCAAUUUUCUAUGAUUAAUAGUUUAACCAUAAGCUUGCUCAUACUUUUAAAAAAAAUCCUAAGUUAUUGCAUAUUAGAUAUGAUGACU